rnacentral:lncRNA from 1 species
GCUUCAAUGGCCAAGAUAUCUGAUCAGUCCACCAAAGAGGAGCAACCGAAGUGUACUUCCAACAAUCUGAAUUCUAAAAACAAUGGAAUCUCAGCUGCUUCAACAGUGAAGAAACCAGAUGAGACCAAAGAUGAUAAGCGACAAAAGUGUGCAUCUAGCAAUGGACCGAACCAGAAGAAUAAAAAAGUGUGGGCUUGUGCUCUAUGCCAGGUCACAACCCAAAGUGAGGCUACCUUGAAUUCCCAUCUUCAAGGAAAGAGACAUCAGGCCACUUCUGAGCAGCUGAAAGCCAAAAACCAGGCAAUCAAAACCAAUGGCUCCCCAUCUGCUUCAAUGGCCAAGAAAUCUGAUGGGUCCACCAAAGAGGAGCAACUGAAGUGUACUUCCAACAAUCUGAAUUCCAAAAACAAUGGCAUCUCAGCUGCUUCAACAGUGAAGAAACCUGAUAAGACCAAAGAGGAUAAGCAACAAAAGUGUGCAUCUAGCAAUGGACCGAACCAGAAGAAUAACAAAAAUUGGGCUUGUGCUCUAUGCCAGGUCACAACCCAAAGUGAGGCUACCUUGAAUUCCCAUCUUCAAGGGAAGAGACAUCAGGCCACUUCUGAGCAGCCGAAAGGCAAAAACAAGGCAACCAAAGCCAGUGGUUCCCCAUCUGCUUCAAUGGCCAAGAAAUCUGAUCAGUCCACCAAAGAGGAGCAACUGAAGUGUACUUCCAACAAUCUAAAUUCCAAAAACAAUGGAAUCUCAGCUGCUUCAAAAGUGAAGAAACCAGAUGAUACCAAAGAUGAUGAGCGACAAAAGUGUGCAUCUAGCAAUGGACGGAACCAGAAGAAUAACAAAAAGCAAGAGAAGGCUCUAGUUCCUGAGACCAAUGAGCAAGGCCAUCAGAAGAACUUAAAGCAAACUGGCGAUGGAAUGAAAGAGUUGGGAUCAUGGUGCAAUAUCUGUAAUGUAAGCUGCACAAGUGAGCUUGACAUGGCCUCUCAUCUGAAUGGAAGGAGGCAUUUUGAUAGUAUAAAACAGCUAUCUGAAUUAUGGUGCAGUAACUGCAAUGUAAAGUGCAACAGUGAGGUUGACAUGGCCUCUCACCAAAAUGGGAGAAGGCACUUGGAGCAGCUCAAGGAACGGUUGGGAUUAUGGUGCAGCAUCUGUAGUGUGAGUUGCAACAGCAAGGUGGACAUGGAUUCUCACCUAAAUGGGAGGAGGCACUUGGACCAGAUCGAGGAACAGUUAAGAUUCUGGUGCGGGGCAUGUAAUUUAAUGUGCAAUAGUGAGCUCAAAAUGGCCUCUCAUCUGAAUCGGAGGAGUCACUUAAAGACAUGAGGAAUAUCUGAUUGCAUGUUUCUUCAGACAAAUGUUUUUGGUUAGAAGCAUACAGGCCAGUGGGGGCUGGUGGUCACGGAUGCCUCUGUUUUUGUUGCAUGAAAUAAAAACAGAAUUUCCAUGUUCAGUAUAGGAUUCUUAGUAAGAGGGAUGUCUAGUUCAUCUAUUGAGGAUCGGUUCAAAAUUCUACCCCUUGAAAAUUAGUCUGCAGAUAUUGGAUCAGAUCAAAUAUAUGGAUAGGAAUCCUUGUGGAUCUUUCUACUCCAUUUUCCCAAAGUGACAUCUUUCUUUGAGAAGCAUCUGAUAAAUAUAACAAAAGAAUAUACAUACGUUACAAUUUAAAACAACCCAUAAAUCAUCUACUUGUUUAGUUCAUGCAUGGCUGGUUCAAAAUUAAAUCUAAUUGAAAAUGGGUAGAAGCAGGGAGUGAAAAGUUGAAGGGAAGAAUGUAAGAUUAUGUUAGGAAGAGGUGGAAAGGUUCAAAUUAGGAACUAAGACCCAUUUUGAGAGACAUGGAAAGUGUCUUUAGAUUAUGUUAAGAUAUUUCCAUUUUUUUUUUCUAUUCUUUUUCUUUAUUUAUUGUAAGAGCAUAUUUAUUACUCGGAAUAAGGAAUGAAAAUGUAUAUAUUUUGGUUUUAGGAAUAUAGGAUUGAAAUGAUUAUUUGUUUUUAUUUUAGUGUUUGAUAACAAUGGAAGUAUGAAUGAAAAAAUAAAUUGACAAUACUACCUUUAGAAGAAUUUGUCUUUUUGGUUAAUUAAUAAGCUUAAGAAAAAUAAUAUUUAUUCAAUAAAUAAAAUUAAUCACACAAAGUCAUAAGAACCUAAUGAAAAUAUAAGGAUAAAAUAGUAAUUUUAAAAUAUUCAUUUAAGUUAUCCAAGCACAUUCCCACUCUUCAUUCCCUUGUACCAAAUAUGGUCUUUUAAGUGUUUGCCAACUUAUUUUUUUGGCAAUAUAUCGAUAUUGUAUCGAUUUUAUCACCAAGUCACUAAUUCUUUGAGUGACUUCCAAAAUUUUGAAAUGGGCUUUUAAGAUUCGCCCCAACCAAGCGAUUGCAACAAUUGCUAUCUCUUGGAAGCCCAGCCCAGCCCAUAUAGCACCCAUGACCUCACGUACAAAAGGGAACGGCUGUGCCACCAUACCAACAAUGCUAUUUGUUAUAAGUUAUGCAAUGGAAAUGUAUUAAUAUAUAUAAAUUAUAAACAAAAAUUACAUAUAAAAUUCAUAAAUGUAAAUAUCCUAUUGUGGACCCGCAUUUUUUGCAUGUGUUUCCACUCAAUGGUGUGACUUGCUUUUUAUUUGAAAAUUUUGAUUUUUUUUUAAAAUUGAUUUUGGAGCGGCCACUUAUUUUUGUUUUAUUUUUAAAAAAUGAAGAAGAAAAAAAAAAAAGAAACCCUAAGUGUGACUCCUAUAAAGGAAAAGCAGAUAUAUGAAAACUAAGUUUGAGUCCAAGGGUCCGUAACAUCCCUUUAAACUCUAAAAAUUAGGCUUCUACUAAUCAAGUUAAGGCAUAUAUGACAAUUGAUUAAUCAAUUAAUGGAUACCAAGGAAUGAUCAUAGGAUAAGGUAUAUCAUGCAUAGAGCGUAAGAAAAAAAAAAAAAGAUGAAGACUAGAGCAUACCUCAGUAUUGAGCAAUAAUGCGCUACAUGAAAAACAAGGUUAAUGUAUAAUACCAAGUAUAGAAAUAAUUACAUGCGUGUCAUAUAGUGGAGGCAUAGAUUAAUUAUUAGUCAAACAAGCAUAACAAUCAAUAAUCACAGGAUAAAAACUCAUAUGUUAGACCCCACCAAUGCCUGAUUUAUUUGUGCAUGAAUAAAUUCUAUAAAAUUUCCAUUUUCCUAAUAAUCGUAGAGGAGGAUCAUAGAAAUAUGGAAGGAAUUCCAUUAUUUUUGGAAUUAUAGAAUUUUUUCAUGUUUAUUAAAAAUGAAGAAAAAUCAAGUAAAUUAUUAAGAAUUAGAGAAAGUAACCAAAAUGAAUGCUAGAAGGAAGUUUGGUAGCAAAUUUAUCAAAGUUGGAUUCUUAUUACCUAAAAAAAAAAAGGUCUAAGGAUGAAUUUUUAAAGUCAAUAUUAUCCAAUUGAAAAUGGAUUUGAAAAAUCUAUUCAAGACUAUAAGUUACUAAAGAAAGAAACAUCUAGAGGAGGGGAGUAUGCAUAUGGAAAAAAAGUGGUCAUGUAGGUGGGUCCUAUGGUUCAAUGUCGCGAUAUCGGUUGCUGACUUAGAGGAUCCUAAGACAUAUAGGUCUCGGUGUAUCGACUUGGUAUCGGAUGAUACGUAAAAUAAGCUAAUUGGAAAAUUCAAACUACUAUAAAUAAAUCUCAUGAUCAUCUUUGCUUGAUCUAAUGUCUCCUUAAUUUGCUUCAUGCUUCCAAUACCUUCAAGCAUCAAAUCAAUAUAGUGGGAUACACAAGGAGACCAAAACAAAUGCUUUCACUUCUUCAUCAGUAACAUAUUAGAUACUUUAAAACUUGCCUCAUUAUCAAUGACUACUUUAACAACAUUUUCCUCCCCAACCUCCUCUACAACUUUAUCCAUAAGGGAAAAGAUGUAGUCUACUAUCUUAGGUAUGUUAGUAGUGUCAACUGAAGAAUGGUAUAUCAUACUUCUAUCAUAAUAAAUCAUGAGAUUGAUGAUAGGCUUUCUAGUCCUAGAACUCCAACCAUCACACAUGAUUUUGCACUCAUAUGUAAGUCAUUUAGCCUUCAAUGUGGUUAUAUAUACCUUAAGCUCUUGUACCUUUUCCACCAAAUAUGUAUUUCCAAUUUGGUAUCACAUGGGACCCUUGAUGCCUGGACCUGCUUCUACUAUGGUAUCAAUCAUUGAUUGAUAGUAAGGUCCACUAUUAGCUGCAUUAAAGGAUAUUGCAUUAAAGAGAAAGAAUUUAGAAAUGACUUUACCCACUCUCUUCACGCCUUCGGUAGAAAACAAACUUUUUAUUGAUUUCUACUUUGAUGGGAACAUGUAAGGAUCAAUUCCUUUUGAAGGUAUGCUAGCUCAUUCUCUUACACUGAAGCUACGUGACGGUCUAUGCUUAAUUCCCACACUAGAAGGUUGUGAGGAACUAGCACCCUUCUAAUGCUCUUUUCUACAUUCUUAAAAAAUUCGACAACUUUCUUUCGUUACUUGUUUCAUUUGUCUUUUUUCGAAAUCAGUCAUAUCAACUUCCUCAAUUUCAUCAUCAGAAUCAUCCUCAUCAAUUUCAUAGAAAUUUUCUUCAUUUAAGGAGCUCAAAAGUUGUUUUUUUUUUCUUUAAUUGUGCAUUUUCUUUUGAAGCAUCAGACAUAUGUUGUCUAACACUUUGUGGCAUUUCUAUCGGUACACGUGGACAUCUUUUCACUUGUCCAAAUAUAUGUGCAAUGUGUUGCUUUAAUCUUGUUAUAUAUUUUAUGUAUAACUUUGCCACAAUAUUUACACUUGAUGGUUCUUCUACUACCAUCAACAUAUUCUGCAUGCUUCUAACCAAUAUCAUGUUUUGGAGUCAUUUUGAAAUUUUAGUUUCACCAUGUAUAAAAAUAAAACAACUUACUUUUCAAAUUAAACAUAUAUAAAAUCAUUUAUAUAAGAAUUAUAAUAUUCAAUUUUCCACCAACUUAUAUGUUUUUUUUUCUAAUUUAAUUAAACAAAAAGGUUUGUUUUAAUAACUAUCGAUUUCCUAAUGCAAUUUAAUUUUAGAAUAUUGUAAAAUAAAAAAUCCAUAUAAUAUAGUGAAAUAAAAUUGAUUCAAAUAUAAGUAUCAUUUUUCUAUACCAUAUAAAUGUAUACCAUUAAAUUCAUGUUGUUACCAUAUAAAAAUAAAUUCUACUAAAAAAAACAAUAAACAUGAUCAUACCUAAGUUCACAAUCUUUUAUUUUUCAUUUAUUUAUAUGUUUUUUAAUUAAAAUAAAUAAUAGUUAAAUAAUUGAAUAUUUUUAUAAAACAAUUUUUUUUUAAAAAGUUUGUUUUGAUAAUUAUUGAUUUCUUAUUGUAAUUUAAUUGUAGAAUAUAAUAAAAUAUAUUAUAAAAUAAAAAAUCUACAUAAUAUAAAAAAGUAAAAUUGAUUCAUAUAUAAAUUGUAAUUUCUCUAUACCAUGUAAAUGCAUAACCUUAAAUUCAUAUUAUUAAAUUCAUAAAUUUAUAUCAACUUUACUAAAUCAAUUAUUCAAUUCCUAAACAUAUUAUAAAAUUGUAAAUUUAAUUAUACAAUAUUAUAAGAUAAAAAACAUAUCAUGAUAUAAUAAAUGAAAAAUGAUUUAAUAUAAAUAUAAUCUCUAUAUCAUAUGAAACUAAUUAUUGAUUUCUUAAUAUAAACAUGUCAUUAAAUCAUUACUUUUAUAAUUAUGAUUUUUUGAAAUUAUAUUAUUAUUUUUAUAAAACAAACUUUUUAAAAAGUAUGUUUUGAUACUUAUUGAUUUCUAUUAUAAUUUAAUCCUAGAAUAUUAUAAAAUAAAAAAUCUACAUAAUAUAAUGAAGUAAAAUUGAUUCAAAUAUAAAUGUAAUUUCUUUAUAGCAUGUAAAUGCAUAUUAUUAAAUAUGUAUUAUUAAAUCAUUAUUUUUAAAAUUAUGAUUCUUUGAAAAAAAAAUCGUUUUAAAUAAUUAUUGAUUUUCUGAUGUAAUUUAAUUUUGCAGUAGUAUAAGAUAAAAAUAUAAAUUAAAAAUAUAAUAUCUAUACCAUAUAAAAACAUACUAUAUGAAGUUUACCAUAUAAAUGUAUUUUAUAUUAAGAAAUAUAAUUUCCACAACAAAUAAAAAUAAUUUGGUGAAUCAAUUUAAUAUUAUAAGAUAAAAAAUUACAUAAUUUGAUAAAUUAAAAAUAUAAUCUCUAUACAAUAUAAAAACAUUACAGAUAAAUAUUUUUAAUAUCAUCAUAAUAUUAUCAUUAUGAAUUCCCCAAUUACAUAUAAACAUUACUUUCCAAUUCCUCAAUUUCAUACCAUUACAUAUAAACAUUACUUUUCAAUUUAAUUGUCCACCAUACAUAGCAUACAUGAAUUCCCCAAUUUUGCCAAGUUAAAUAUAUAUGUAAAUCAAUUUAAUAUUAUAAGAUAAAAAAAUUACAUAAUUUAAUAAAUUAAAAUAUAAUCUUUACAUAAUAUAAAAACAUUACAUAUAAAUAUUUUUAAUAUCAUCAUAAUAUUAUCAUUAUGAAUUCCCCAAUUUCAUAACAUUACAUAUAAAUAUUACUUUUCAAUUUAACCAUCCACCAUACUCCUCAAUUUUACCAAUUUAAAUACAUGUAAAUAAAUAAAUAAAAUUCUAAUUUUACCAAUUUAACUUCAAUUUCCUUCCCUAACACACAUAGUUACAUGAUUAUAGCAAUCAUGACACCAUGUAACCACAACUAGGGAGAGGAGGAUUGCCUUGUUGGUGUCUAGUCACCACUACGGCAUCGCCGACACACCAAAGAUCCUAGGUUACACUUCAACAACGGUAGAUUUAUGGUUAGGUAAGUAAAUCUUCAAUUGUGUGUCUCAUCCUUUGUUGAUUUCUCCUUUUAAAGGCUUCUGAAAGGGUCACAAGUUUAAUUUUUUUUUUUUUUUUGUUUUUUUCCAACUCAGCCAAGUUAAAUCAGAAUAUCAGCCAUCCGAGUUUUAUCGAUUCAAUGUCGAGUCUGUGCAUAAAUCUGUAUCUGGUAUCGAACUCGUCACGACCAGCAUCAAGGCGGAUACGACUCAACUGAGUUGUACCGAACUCGACUCAACCAAGUCAUAUCGGACACGACCAAUAUUUUGAACCUUGGUGGUUCCCAAAGUUGCCUUAGAUGGAGCUUUGCCUUUACAGUUUCAAUCAUUGACAUAUAGGCAACUUUAGAUUAAUAUUUAGCCUAAUCUCUGUAUGUUCUAGUUUCACUAGAAUAAAAGCUUUCCUACUUGUUUUUUUUAUUUCCAUUGAUGAUGGCAUGUUUCUUAUAGUUUAAAUCCCCAUUUUCCAUAAGAAUAUUUUCAUUUAUUCCAAUGUUCUCUACCGGUUGUGACUCAACUACAAUUUAGUCAUUGUGUAAUGAAUUUGAUGCCUCAUUCACCAAUUUCACUACAAGUGGUUUAGUUGUUGUUUCUACUUCACACAAUUUAGACACUAUUACAGGUGUCCCCAUGUUCAUUUUUCUCUGAAGAAUCUUUCAUUCUUUGAUCUAAAACAUCAUGUCCGGAAGAAUUGUUGUGUCCCAAUUUCAGCAUAGAAGGCCUUUUGACUUUAUCAAGAAUAAGAUAUUCAUCUUUCAACAAAUAUCAAAGGAAGUUUUUCAUCUACAGCUUCUUGUUGGUUAGUCCAGCUAGUGGAGCCAUUCUUACAACUAUAUUGCAACCUUCAUUCUCGAUGCCCUUUUGAACCUUAAGCACUUUAUCCACAAUAGGUCUCAUUUGUUUCUCAUCUUGCAAGCAUUGAAAUGCCAACUCCACCACUAUCAUCAUCAUCCUUUAAAGUUUGCCAAUGUUAUUUUAGGCCCCACUAUCUAAAAUUCUGUCAAAUGCCUUAAGGUAGAAAAGUGUUUGGGUAAAAAAGUUGGCCCAAACUACCGAUAGCUCUGAUAUUUUUAGCUUCAGAAGUUCAUUGUAUGCCGUAUGAGAUUGCAUGAAGUCACAUUGCCAUAGCUACUCAAUCUAAUCACCAUUCUCCAUGUUAGUUGUAGUUUCAACUUGAAAAAAAAGGAUGGCUGGCUAUAGAAAGAAAAUCAAAGAGUAACACCUAGAAACAGAGGAGUUAAAAAUAGUCCACCAAAAAAAAGAGGACCCUUUUCUUUUAUUCACUUUGUAUUUCUUGGUUCUAUUGUUUUAUUGUAUAGUGUGUAGUUUUCUAAACCAAAUGCAAAGAGAUUUAACUUGAGUAAAUCUCUCUAUGUGGAAGCAUGACAAACACUCAAAACAUAAAAACAAAAAACUUGUUUUUACAUACAUACAACCCAAACACAACAUAGACACAUUAUGUAACAUUCUCACCCCUAAUGUGAUGUUCUUUUACACCUAAAAGAUUUCGAAAGUGAACAAGCUUCUCCAAAGGCAAUGCUUUAGUGAAGAUAUUAGUUACCUACUCCUUUGAUUAACAAUACAUCAAUUGAACCUCACCAUCUGAGAUAGUUUCUUUAAUAAAAUGGUAAUUCAUUAUAAUAUGCCUAAUCCUACUAUAAAAAACAUAGUUUUUUGCAAUGGUUAUAGCAAAUUUGUUGUCACAAAGUAGAGUUGUUGCUUCAUUUUGAUCCUCCUUGAUGUCUUCUAAAAUUCUUCUCAACUAUAUGGUUUGAGAAGUUGCCAAUGAAGCUGAAAUGUACUUUGCUUCAGUAGAAUAUUGAGCCAUUGAACCUUGCUUUUUUUAGACCCAAGAUAUUACACCUGAACCAAGGAAGAAUGCAUAGCCUGAUGUGUUUUUCAUGUCAUCAACAUAACCACUCCAAUUAGUAUCACAAUGGCCAAUUAGCUUCAGUUUCAUAUUCUUUAAAUAUUUUAUUCCAAGCUUUAUCGUGCCUUGGAAAUAUCUUAAGACUCUUUUUGCUGCUUCAAGAUGUAAAUGACUAGGAGAGUGCAUGAAUCUUGAAAGCAAGCUUGCUACAAACAUGAUGCCAAGUCUUGUUGUAGUGAGAUACAUGAGAUUUCCAACAAGACUUCUAAAGUGAGUUUCAUCAACCAUUUUUUCUCCAUCUUCUUUCUUCAGUUUUUCAUUCACAACUAAAGGAAUAGAUAUAAGAUUGUAACUAGUCAUGCCAAAAAUUUUAGGAUAUGUUCAACAUACCUUUUUCGGAAAAUAAAGACUCCAUCUUCUUGAUAAAUUUCAAUUCCCAAAAAAUAAUGCAAUAAUCCCAUAUCACCCAUUUCAUAUUUUUAUAUAAUUUCUUUUAUGAAUUUUUCAACCAUCUUCUCAUCAUUUCCAAUUUAAAUCAAAUCAUCAACAUAAAGAGCAAUAAUAAGGAUUUUAGAAUUACCUUUGCUCUUCACAUAUAGAAUAGGCUCACUCUUACUUCUAAUGAAACCAUUUUCAAUGAAGUAGUUGUCAAUUUGAGUACACUAGACACAAGGGGCUUGUUUUAAAUGAUAUAAGGCUUUCUUCAACUUGUAAACUUUAUUUUCUUCACCAUCAACAAAAAAGCCUUAAGGUUCUUCAACAUAGAUCUCUUUUUCCAACUUUCCAUUAAAAAAUGUAGAUUUUAUGUCAAGUUGAUACAACAACCAAUUUUUUUUAGUAGCCACUACAAUAAUAGUUUUAAUAGUGUCAAGGUGAGCAACUAGAGCAAAGGUCUCAUGGAAAUCAACACCCGGUUGUUGUGAGUAACAUUUUUCAACCAACCUAGCUUUAAGCCUUUAAACCCUACUAUCAGAAUGGUAUUUCACCCUAUAAAUCCACUUCACCUCAAUGAUUUCUUUAUCUUUUGGCUUUUUAACUAGCUGCCAUGUUUCAUUUUUUUUUCAAUGACAUCAAUUUAUUUUUCCAUUGCUUUCCUUAAAUCUUCAUUUUUUUUUAUUGCCUCUUCAAAACUUUGAGGUUUAACAAUGCAAAAAUUGCAUUUCUCAUAAAUGUCAUUCAAACUCCUCAUUUUUUUUGGAGUUAAGGAUGGCGAUGAUGAGCUUGAAGUUGGAGACUCAGUUGAGGAGAUAAUGGAAUUGAUCUUAGGGAGUCUUGAGGUGAUGAAGUUGACGUGUUUGUUUGAAGUUCAUCAAGAAGAAUUGUUUUCUUCUUAAUUUUACCUCUUCCCAAUUCCAAGCAGUUUUUUCAUCAAAAAUAACAUUCCUGCUUAUGAUCAACUUGUUGGUUUUCAAAUUAUACAAACUAUAACCCUUUGACUAUGAACUAUAACCCAUGAAGAUGCAUUUUUCACUUGCUUCAUCCAACUUGAUUUUCCUUUCCUUUAGCACUUGUGAAUAACAUUAGCACCCAAACGCUUUGAAGUGUCUUAUAGAUGGUUUUCUUUCACCCCAUGCUUCAAUCGGAGUUUUGUUCAAUAAUGCUUUUGUUGAGCAUUUAUUCAAAAGAUACACAGUAGUGUUAAUUGCUUCAGCCUAAAAAAUUUUAGGCAAACCCUUGUCAUAUAACAUAACUUUAGCCAUUUCCAUAAUUAUUUGAUUAUUUCAUUCAACCACUCCAUUUUAUUGAGUAUAUCCAAUGGUAAGCUGUCUCUCAACCCCUUUGUCUUGACAAAAAUUACCAAAUUAGCUUGAAGUAUAUUCCAUUCCUUUGUCACUUCUGAAGGUCUUUAUGUAGCAACCACUUUGCUUUUCAACAAAGCUCUUGAAUGUUUUGAAGAUAAAGACCACUUAUGAUUUUUGCUUCAUGAAGAGCAACCAAUUAAUUCUUGUAAAAUCAUCAAUAAACAAUACAAAGUACUUGAUGUUGCCUUGAGAAGGUGUAGACAUGAGCACACAUAUAUCAAUAUGAAUUGGUUCCAAUACCUUCUUUGCUAUCCAAGCAACUCUCUUUGGAAAUGAUUGUUUGUGAUGCUUCCCAAUAGCACAACCUUCACAGGCUUCAGUAUUUUAUUCAAUGUUGUUAGGAAAUCCUUGUACUAUUUUCCUUUAACAAAGCAUCUUCAAGCUAUUGAAGUUCAAGUGCCUAAAUCUUCUAUGCCACAACCAAGUUUCUUCAACAUCUUCCAUUUUCAAAGCCACAUUUUUAGCAUAUUUGAAAACAAUUGGAAAGCUUUUGUUUUUCUCCAUUUUUAUCUUCUUCACUAAAUUUCUUCUUUGUUUCUUAUCAUAAAUGGUGCACUCAUUAUCUUUGAAGUGAAGUUUGUACCCAUGCUCUACUAUCUAUCCCAUACUCAACAAAUUUUGCUCCAAGGCUAGUACAAGAAGAACUUCUCUGAUGUACUUGGUUCCCACUUUAGUUUGGAUGUCAAUAGUACAUUUCCCUUUGACGUUCACUAAAUCACCAUUGCCCAUUUUGACUUGUGAGUUUAUGGUUGCAUCCAUGUCAAGGAAAAUAUUUUUGUUGCCAGUCAUGUGGUUUGUUCAACCAUUAUCAAGGAACCACACAUUAUUCUUUUUCUCAACAAUACUUUGAUAAGAAAAAAACAUGUUUUCAUCAAUCUAUUUUUCCUCAACACAACUUGUUCGUUGAUUGUUCUUAAAUCUACAAUUUUGUUUACAAUUGAAGCAUUGGGGCUUCCCUUUGAACCAACAAUCUUUCUCAACAUGACUAUUUCUUUCACAAAUAUUACACUUUGGGAUUGACGAGUCUUCUUCGUUAGUGAACUUUCUUUCAUGGUUGAAUCUUCCUCUACCUCUUCUAUUUCUUCCUCUUACUCUUUCUCAUCCAGGUUUACCACCUUUGGAUGAAUCACUUCUAUUUUCAUUGCUUGUAGGUUUCCUUUCAACAUUUCUAAAGUUAAGGCUUAAUUUAGAUUGGAAUGUACUUUCAACUGAUUUUUCAAAAUGCCUCAACAAUCUCUCUCGAUAAGUUUUUAAAGACUCAAAUAGCUCUUAUACACUGAGCAGUGAGAGAUCUUUUGUUUCUUCAACCACAACCAUAAUUAGGUCAUAAUUGUUAAGUAAGUAGAUCAAAAGUUUCUCAACAAUUCUUCUAUCACUAAUUUCUUCACCAUAUGACUUCAUCUGAUUUACUAACUCCAUAAAUCUAGAAGAGAACUCAUUUAGAGUUUCAUUCUCCUUAGAGCUUGAAGCUUUAUUAAUCGAGUUCUUCUAUCUCCUUGGAACUCCUGUUAAAGAAUGUUUCAUGUUUCUUUAGCUUUUGAAUCUCUCAUAAUUCUUAGGAAGAUGCUAUUAACAACACCCUAUUGAAUAAAUAAGAGAGCUUUUGCAUCCAUUUUUUUCAACUCUUUCAAUUGAUCUUUUUCAACUAGAGUUAGUGUAGUCACAUUUUCAAGUUCAUUAAAACCAUUUUCAACCAAAUCCCAAAUAUCUUGAGGCAUAAAUAAUGUUUUCAUUUUUAUGUACCAAAAAAUCAUAAUUUUCUUCUUCAAAUAAUGAAAUAGAAGAGGGUUGGGAACUCAUACUUGUAAUACUUGUGCUUGCCAUUGAUCUACUCUUCAAAUCUUUGGUUAUUUUACUUCAAGAUUGGGGGUUUCUAGCUACACAAUUUGAUUGCACAACAACACCACUUGCUAUUCAUUUUCUUUUUCAUUGAUUGCCUUCAGAUUUUACUACUUUAAUAGCCACCAAUUUAUCUAUAUUGUGGGUUUGGAUUUGGGUCUUUGGAUGAAAAGAAACCCUAGUAUCCUGCCUCUCCAAAAUAGAGGAAAUUUCUUAAAAUUCUGUACACAAAAGGCUUGUUGUAAGAUAUAAGAGGGCUUGAAAAGAAAAGGUGGAUUAGAUUAGAUUAGAACAACAAGCUAGGUGGUUCGAAGAUUAUAUUGAGAUAUGGAUCCGUGAAAUGGAUGGAUUUGAUACUAGUUUUGUUGGUUGUUUUAACCUGAAAACAGAGGAUGGCUACAAAAAGAAAAUGAAAGAGUAACACCCAGAAAUAGAGGAGUUAAAAAUAGUCCACCAAAAAAACAAUGGACCUUUUUCUUUUCUUCACUUUGUAUUUUUCAGUUAUGUUGUUUUGUUGUUUAGUGUGUAGUUUUCAAAGCCAAAUGCAAAGAGAUUUAACUUAAGUAAAUCUCUCCACGUGGAAACAUGACAACCACUCAAAAUAUAAAAACAAAAACUUAUUUUUACAUACAUACAACAAAAACACAACAUAAACACAUUAUGUUACACUCUAGAUUCACUUAACAAGAGACUUCCAUCUACAAUUUGAGUCCAUUGAUGGGCUUUCUUCCUUAAUCCAGGUAAGAAUCUCCACAUUAUUUGUCCAUUCAAUUGAGACGGAGGAAUAACCAGUCCAUGAGUUGCUUAAAUUCCAUAUUUUUAGUCCUUGGUCCAUCAAUGUAAAGCCCAAACAGACUUCCAAUGUCUCAACCCUUAAUACUCCCUCAUUUCUUAUAUAUUAAAAGACUAGGUCGGACUAGUGCCAAAAAAAUAACUAGGCCAUGAAGAAUGAUCCCAUAAACACCAUUAGACUUAAUGUUAAUCUCUGUAGAAUUUACUUAUGAAUUGAGCAUAUCUUCCUUUUGAAUGCCUUAAUUGAAGGUGGUCAGCAUCUUGUGAAUUUGAUUUGGGUGGUAAUAUUUAUUCCAACAACAACUAUAUUAGCACUAGAAGUAAACACGACAUAUGUUACUUCUAAUUCCUCAUAGACUUCAUCCAUGCUAAUGUGGAUGAAUCUCCUAAUCUAGCCAACAACUUUGUAAGCUUCUAGAAGGAAUGAGUACCAUAGAUAUUAUUCCUGGUGAACUCAUAGUUAUUAUCAAAGGAUUUGUCAACAUGAAUUUGGGUUAAAAAGUGCAUUAUUGCGUUCAUAAGCUCAAUGAUGAGAAGGAAGUUAACAAGGUCAACACUACCAAUUCCUGGGUUUCUAGAUCUGCUAGGAAAUGUAAUUCUUGAUGGUGUCAUGCAUUCCUAUGCAUUAAGAAAUACACUAUUUCCAAAAAAUAACUAUUGUCGGCUAAUUCUUCAAUUGUGUAGCUUGCUUGCUUGAAAAUCUAUGCUUGUUCCAUGCAUGGAGGACUGAUUCCAAGUCUCCAACCACAUAAGCUUCAUUAUUGGGCACCUUAGUUCUAAAUGUUGUGAAGAAACACUGCCAAUAUAGCAGUGUUGUACCUACACGAACCUGGAAACAUGGAGAAUCCAUCGUUGAAGACGAUGUUUCCAUACAAAUUCUUCCUAAUAUUUACAUAGCAUUUCAUGAUGGAGUUGUUUGUGAUUUCAUGAAUGCCAACAUCUUCUAUUAUCACUACCACAAAAAAUACAUUUAAUGACGUUUAAUUCCUUGGCGCUUCUAGUAAGUGUCACAGAAUUAGACCAAAGAUAGCACUAUUCCAAAAACGCCAAGGAAUUUUACCAACAAUGGUGCUUUUUCAAAAACAUCAUCUUUGAUAUCUAAACUUGUAUAGAGGUCUAUUAUUAAUUGAUUGUUGGCACUCUUAAAAAGUGCCAUGUUUUGCUGGAUAUAAAUAAAAGCCCAUCUCUACCCAUUUUACCCUAUUUCGAAACACAUUAUCUUCUCGUUUUGAAACCUAUUCAUUCCAAAACCUUUAACUCUUUUGAGUUUAUGACUAAGCCCUAGGUUUAUCCAAUGAUCUUUCCAACAAGGUUUUAGUCAUCAUUAAGAGAUUGUAGGGUUUGCCAUGUCGAUGAUUGUCCAAUUUAGAAUGUUUGAUGAAAAACGAACAAAUAUUAGAUCCAUUCCUUAUGAUCCAAAUUCGAUCAAAAUCUGGCUUCCAAAGGAGAAAAAAAUCUAGAUAGUUAUUUAUUUGAGUUCGUUUGUAUAGUUGUGUAGUUUUUAUGGAGGUUGUACAAUUGGGGAAUUAGGGUUAGGAUUUAGGAGUUUGUAUAGGCAGUAAGUGUUUUAGGGGAUUGAAGUAAGUUGUAAAAAUUGGUGAAGAAGUUGUCUUUCCGUUCUUCAUGGUCUUUUUUCUUUCGCGCCCUAUCGCCUCAAAGUAAAAAAAGAAUCAACCACUUCGUCUUCAUAUAUCUACUUCAUCUCAAACCUAAACACCUCCAUUUGCAUAUCCUUCCUUUGUUGUUGUUACGAUUGACACCCGAAAAACUCAUAAAGAAGAAUAUGUUUCUUGAACAAGGUUGGGUUUUUCUUUUCUCUUUUUUUCUCUUUUUAUUUCCUGAUAUGGGAUUAUUCUCUUUUCGUAUGUUUGUUAAGCUUUUGGUGAGUAACAAACCAUAAAACAGGGUCUAAUGUUCAUAUCAAUGGGUUCACUGGAAGAGGCUUGUGCAGCUGUCUCUAAUCUUGAAUCAAAUGUAAGCAUAUUUUUUUUGUUAUUUUUCCUUUGAUUUCUUUAUAAUAUUCUAAUUUUUGUGGAGAAAAAAGUUGAGAAAAAAGAAAAAAAUUGAAGUUUUUGAAUAUGUGGAUUCCAAUUAUUUAAGAUUGUGGAGAACUAAAACUUAAAUGGAUUUUAAUAGGAUUAUUUUAGAUUUUGACAUCUAGUUUUUCAUCAUUGAGGGUCAAAUGUGAGACAUUGUUAAGGAUCCCAUUAUAAGAGUAUUAAUGUAUACAUAUAUAAUUUUCAUUAUAAGUUUCUAAUGGUUAGUAAAUAACUCAAAAGGUAUCAAUUUUAUCCUAUUAUGUUGCAUGAUAGUUUUUGACUUCAGUAGGAAUUCCUAAUUCCAAUUUCUUCCACUCUAUUCCUUCCCAUUAUAAUAUUCUUUCUAUUCGAUUAUAUUUUAGUAAAUGUGCCACAAGUAUAGAUCAAGGAAAUCAUCUAGUAAACUAGUGAUGCAAUGCUCUUUUUUGUUGGUUGCAUCUUUAAAGUAUUUGUCCAACUAAACACAAGCCUACCCAAUAAACAUUCUGUAUGCAUAUUCAUGUAUCAUAUUCUAAUGGACAUUUCACACAAGUGCCUUUAUAUCAACUGAACCACAGUUCAAACCCCCCUCAAAUACCCACAUCAAAAUGCCUAAAUUUGAACCAGUCAACUUGAUUGAAAUAACCCACUAAAUUAGAUGGUUGUAUCUAACCAUGUCAACAUAUAACCACAUUCAAUUUUACUUACCUUUAACCAUAUUUACUUUUCAAAAAUAAAGACAAUUCCCUAUGGGCCUCUCCUUAUAAUGGAAUCAUGACAACAGAGAACUGCUUGGUUGCUUUUGAAUCCUUACCACCAAAUUUAUUUAGACACCAUUGGUGGCUUAUCGAUGAAAAUUAAAUUUUGAUUAACAAUACACUAGAAUGGAACUCUUAUCAAAUGUUUUUUUUUUUUUUUUUUUACCAACAUCUCUUCCAAAUACCAAUUUUUACCAUAUUUUUAAAUUGCAUGGCAAAUUGUUCCAACUUGUAAAAUAUUUAUGCAACAACAAAACAGUUAGAAUGCUACUAUAGAAGGCACUCGCCCUCUCUAUCCAUCCUUGUACACAUAGGGUAAUGGAAUGAUUACCAAGAAACGUAAACAGUGAAUCCACCAACUAUGAAAUGCCUAACUUCCAUGCACACCAAGGCCUAAAUCUCAUAGGAAGCUUAAUUUCAAAUUUUUAGAUUUCAAUGUGAAAAUGAGUUAGAAGUUCACUACUAGUGAGAUAAUAUGAGGCAUGCAUGUGUAUGUGAGGAAGUUGGGGGUGUGGGGGAGAAAUAAAAGUUGAAUAAACUAGUCAAAGGUAACACCCAACAUUCAGUUUUUUAUUUAUUUAGGUUGGAGUAGGUAUCAAUUAGUAAAACCUCUACUAUAAAAUCUCUAUUCGGAAUACUCAUUACAUAUAAUAAUAAUAAUAAUAAUAAUAAUAAUAAUAAUAAUAAUAAUAAUAAUAAUAAUAAUAAUACAUUUGUGAUUAUAGUUCAAUUGUACCAACUAAAAUUUCUAAAUUCUUGAUGGAAAACAUAAUAGGUUCUUUCAACAAUAUUUCUUGUAGACAUAUAUAUCACUAAGCAUUUCUAGCCUAACAAAGGUAUAUUAGUUUUACUAUCUAGUAUGAAAAUAAUGGUUUCUGACUUUCUAUAAGGGGCAGAUAGCUGAAAACUUGUGUUCUUAUGUUCUUGAAGUCUAUAAAUAUUAAAUAUAUUAUCCAAUUUAUUGCCAAAAGUUAGUCUACAUGGCUUGUUGGACUACAACUAAUACUAAUUGGAAUGUACAGAAGCUUGGCUAUUUUGUAUUUGGGUUCCUGAAUUUGUGUUCUCAUCAUGUUUCUAGUUUUUUUUUCUAUAUUUUUUAAAAGGUUCAUUUCUAAUAAAAACAAAAGAUCCAACUUUUAAUAUUUUUUAAUAAUAAAUCUUCAUGAUUGUUCAAUGCAUUGAUAUGUAGUAAGUGGACAAAAUGAGCCUCUAUUAUUGAUAUAGGAAUAAAGACUAUCAUUCUAGAUGACAACUAGGAGUAUGAGAUAAUGAUUGUGUCUUUCAACUAGCUAUCUAUUAAGAGGACAAGAAACACAAUCUACUUAUCUUCAAAGUUUUUUUUUUCAUAGUUUUUUCUCAAAAGUGAAAAAAGAAAAAAAGAAAAGAAUAAGAUAAACUUGUCAUUGUUUAUUUGUAAUUUUGAGAAUAUCAAAUGCUCAUUUACAAAAUGAGUUAAGUAGGCUACAAAUAUAUAAAAUAGUUCUUAGAAGAAAUGGAAACCAAAAAUAGAGGGUUGUAUGCCAACAUUUAGUUGAGCUAUGACUAGUUGAAGUCUUCCAAAAGGCAAGAAUUUCAAUACUUUAAUUAUAUAGCAAAAGCUGCCCAAAGUUGCCAAUCAUCUACUAAAAGACCAAUAUAUAUAUAUAUAGUUCUUUGGAAAUUAUAUAAAUGCCUAAUUAAUAAAAAAAAUUAUUAAAUACAACAAAGUUCAUGCUUGAUUUAAUUUGGUUGUUUAAAUAUAUAAUUAAAAUUAUUUUUAAUUUGAAAAAAAUGUAUAUUAUUUUAGAUGUAGUUGGUUCAUAUUUGUUUUAGAUAUAAAUCACCACUACCAUCUCUUCCUUCUCCUUCUCUUCACAUCCAUAUUUUAGGAUAGACUCUUCUUUUCAACUAUUGAAGUAUCUUAGAGUUUCUCUCUAACCUAGUUCUAGUUUCCUCAUUUGCUUGGAUAUAGUCUUUACCUUCCUGCCCAUUGACUAUUAUAGUCCACAUGCUAUACCUUAAUUUUUUAUUUUCUUAAUGGAGCUAGUUUGAUUUCAUAUAGUAUAGUUAAUCUAGUUGUUUGUUUUGUUUUGUUUUAUGUUUAUUGUUUUAUUUUUUUUAUUAAUAUAAAUUUUCAAUUUGAGAGUAGAAUGUUGAGAAGUGUACAAACCUCAUACACAGAUUUGGUUUAUUCAUGUCUCUAAUCAUUUCCAAAUUGCAAGUGACCAAAAUUAUUCAAUAAAGGACAAGAACAGGGAUAAAAUCCAUGAUUAUCACAUUUCAAUUACAUUUUGUAAUUAUUAGGAAGUAGAAAUAUAUUUUACCAAAGCCCCAUCAAGAAUACCAAUUGAUAAUAAUAACUUUUUAACAUUUGUAGGGUAGCUAUUUGGAGCAACCUUUUUAGACGUUUUCAACUCCAUAUUAGAAGCAUGAAAAUGAAGAUUUCUGGUUUCUAGAUUCCAACUUGUAUUUGCAUGUAUAUUUCUUCCUAUAUUAGGUGAUGCAAUGUUUUGUCCAGGUUCAUCAGAAAAUCCUAUAUAUGAAUGGGAAUUACCAACCUUACAAGGCACAGGCAGAGGUUCUAGAGAUAACUUACUAUUAUAAGCCUUUUUUAUUUUACUAAACUUGAAGGUAACUUUCUUAAGUCCAGUAGAGUUGACAUGAUUUGGAAUUUCUAGUAGAACCUAAAUUGUUGAGACUCCAUUAGAUAAACAAUUUUCGUUAUGCUCUUCAUCUCUCAAACUCUCUAGAAUUGAAUUUCCUAAACUUGUAGAUGAGAUUUCACCUAACCUCACUUGGUUAGUGCUUGCUAGCUCACCAUUACUUUCCUUUAGUUUAAUUGCAAUUUCAUUAUGGCUGCAAAGUAUAUAAUCAUUAUUAAUUACUUUCCUUUGGUUUAAGUAAAAAUUACAAUUUUUAAUUUUUUAGCACAGAGUUGACCACAAAAAGAAAUGAGUUACUUGCUCCAUGGCAAGAUCAAAAUGUAUCUAUCAUUUCUAGAUGUUAGCUUCCCCAAGGAGAUAAUAGUGUUGGCCAUUGGUGAGGACAAAUGGGCCGCCAUGAGCUUGGAGUUUCAAAAUGAAAGGUAAGUUCUUUUAGCUUCCAUUUUAAAGUAGAUGUUUCAUCUAUGUUGAAAGUUAGUAUGACACUCUUGAUAUAUGUAAAAGGUAUAUUGGAAUAUUCACAAAACAAUUAUAGAUAAACCACACAUAGCUACCAUGGGAACGGGGCUCAGAAUUUAUAAACAACAAAUAAGAUAAUAGGCACUCUCAAAUUCAUGUUUAGUUGGAAAAUUAUGUGUUUUUUAUAUUCCUAUAUUGGAAUAUGCUUGUGUAAUUUUUUUUUAUUAGGGUAAUAAUUAAUUGUUUUUUCCCUUUUAAUAUAAUUUGAAAUCUAGAUACACCUAUGAUUAAUUUUCAGAUAAAUGAGCUAGAAUCCCUAGCCUCCUUAGAUCCCCAGAAUGUUAUCUCUCUUCGGCACCUAUAUAUUGUUUCUUGCCCUAAGCUCCAAUCCUUAUGGCUACCAAUAACAUUGGCAAAUCUUGAAAUCAUGGGAUAUUGGCCCCCCAUUGCCUACAUCCCUAAAUUCAAAAUUGAUGAAAAAUUAAUGUAUUACAUAGGUCUUGGAGCAUAAAUGCAUUUUGAAACCUAUUUGCAUGUGUGAACAUGAAUUGAAUAACUUUGCAUGAGUGAGCUACAUAAACAAUCUCUAUUAAUUUAAAAUUUUUAGGAAUCUUUAAGGAAUUUUAGAAUAUAGUUAUCUUGUGAAUAAAGGUAACUAUGUCAAUCUUUAUUUUUUAUUUUUUUAAUUCACCUCUUUAAACAUGAAUUGAAUAACUUUACAUGGGUGAGCUACAUAAACAAUCUCUUUUAAUUUUUAAGGCGUCUUAGAAUAUAACUAUUUUGUGAAAAGGUAAAUCUAUCAAUGUUUAUUUUUAUUUUUAUUUUUAUUUAUUAACCACUUUUGCUUUGUAUUACUCUAAUGUUAUUGAUAACCUCUUUGAAGCAAGAACCUAAUGAAGAAGACUUUGAUGGCAAUGAUGCUAAUGACAAGGUAAAUGAAGAUUUAUUUUUCUUCACUAUAUAUUAUAAAUCGUUAUAAAAUAGAUCUUUUCAAUAAUUAAGGGAACUAAGACAUAUUCAUGUGGUUGUACACUUAAUAGUUGAGAUAAUUAUCUUACUUAGUAGCAAUAUUUUUUAACACUAAUAAUUUAUUUACUCUAGUAAAAAUUCUUACCUUUAACCCAAUAAGGAGAAUAUUAGUAUGUUUGUUUUAUUGCUUUACUUGAACAAAAGCUAAUCAACGUGCUGGAUUAUAUUAUGUUCUUAUAUCAUCUUUGUUUCAAUUAUAUUGGUUGUUAUAUGAAUAAUUUAAAAGUUUUAUAUUCUUUUUUUUUUAUUUACAGCUUGCAAAGGAGAUAGGCUUACAAGAAGAAGAGAAAUCAUUGCAAUAAAGUGAUGUUGAAAAUCAUGAACAUGAUAUCAUUUAAAUCAUUAGGAGGUUGAACUGGGCUUUUGUUGAUGAUGGUUUCUUUUUGUAGUUAUUGCACCGGUAUUUGUUCUUAUAUUGGAUUUACAAAUUCUCAUUGAAAUAUUUUGAUCUAAUGAACAAAUUUAUAAUUUCAAUACAAGUAAUUAUACUAAUUAUUCAAACUAAGCCAUUGUAUAUUAAUAUUUGGAGAUAUUUUAAUUUGUACAAUUCAAUUUAAUUUUAUGAUUUAUAAUUGUUUUUGCUUUUAUUUAAUUAUAUAGGAAAUUCAUUAUUUUAAAAACAAAAUAGCAAUAUUAUUAUUAAAAUAAAAUGCUUAAAGAUGACGCUUCUAUUAAGUGUCAUUAUUAAAAUAAACCAAAUAUGGCGCUUUUAAAAAUGUCAUCGAAAAAAUAAUCCAAAGAUGGCGCCCCUAUGAGUGUCAACAAUGACAAUUUUAUAAAAAUUAUUUUAGUAAAAAUACUCAAAGAUGACACAUUUAUAAGUGUCAUCAUUAAUGUUAUUCAAAGAUGACACUCUUUAAGUGUCAUUGAAAGUAUAGAUCAAAGAGGGUGCUUCCUAGAGGCAUCAUUAUUGAUUAAAACAUAUAAUGAUAGGGGAGAAAAGGACACUUUAAAGAAGCGUCAUCUUAUACUUUUCUUGACGCUUAAAAAGCGUCAUUGAUUACUUUUUUUCUUGUAGUGUAUGAUCAUAGAUGGAUGGAACAACACUUUUGGGUAGCAGAAUUUCUCAAACCUAAUGGUGAUCACCUGUCCAUCUGAUGAAAGUCGUAUUGAUUGAAUUGCACCUAAGUUCCCCUUGAGAACUGCAAUGGGGGGUUUCUACUUUCUUGAUAUCCUUUUGCACUACCCAUGUUAGAAGCAAAGAGUGCUAUAUGGAUGUUAGAAACAAAGGAGCCAGGUAGUACUCUAGAUUUAGUUUUCCUCAUCUUUCAAGUCCUCAAGUUUCUUAACACAUUUACUCCAAAUAAUGUCAAAUGAUAUUUGCUAUCUUGCAAAAAAAUUUGGCCCAAAUCAUUUAAAACAGAUGGUGAAGGGUUUUUUGAAGAUAAUGGAUUCUAAUCCUGGUGCACUCAAUCCAGGUAAUACAAAAGGAUCAGGGUUAUGUUCAAUCUCCUACCACCCAAACUCCUCCAUUAAGCCAGGCCUGAGAGAAGCAAUAGAUGCUUUAGAAGCAAUCUCAUGAGUUUGAUAGCAUUUGAUUACUCUUGUGGCAUUGCAACUGAAAGCCUAAACAUAGAAGAUGAAAUUUCCAAGUCUCAAACCUUUAGAACAUCAUCAAUUGAUAGCCCUAUUUCAUCCCCUAAAGAACUUAAAUUGAUAUUUUGCUCUUUCUAUGCUGGCAUCUUGCAAUUUAGUCUUCUCACACUUAUCCAACUCCAUAUCUAUUAGUUGUGUAAUCACUCUUGGUCACAUGUUUAUGUUUUUUCUCAUCUUUUGAAAUAAUGAUGAUCUUAAAUUAAAUUUUUGAUGCUCUCAAACCACUCGCAUUAUCCCAUGAAUCACCAAUACUGUUUUUAUGCAUGGAAAAUUAGGGAGUUCAUAUUCUUGCUCCUUAAGGUUGAUAGCCAUCAUAUUUUAUGCAACAAGUUCUAUUUCACUGGCCUAGCUCUUUAUAUGAAUUUGAUGUCCAUGCCAGUGGAUUGACAUCUAAAUGAAAACCCACCUGACUUGAGCUUUAAAAGCUGAGUUGAACAUUCUAUGAUGAUUGACUCUUCCAAAGUUGUUAAUGCUUCUAAGAAAGUUUUGUUGGUAGUUGGAUUGUUCUUCUUUGAAAGUGUUGUUUAACAGUUGUUGAGUAGCCAACCGGCAAUAGUGGUGACAGUGAAGAAAAGUAGUUGCAUGCUCCAUACAAACAUUUUCUAACUCCUGCACUAUAAGAAAAAAAGGAAACAAUGAUGUUUUUAAGUGUUAAGAAAGAUAAAAGAUGACGUUUCCCUUAAGUGUCAUCUUCUGGCAUGUCACUAUAUGUUUUAGUUAACAAUGACACUUCUAGAAAAUGUCAUAUUUGAUUAAUGUUUCAAUAACACUUUUAAAAAUGUCAUAUUCAAAUAAAGUUAACAAUGACACUUAUAGAAAGCGUCAUCUUUGAACAUUUUCUAUUGAAAUAAUUUUUAUAAAAUUAUCGAUCUUGACACUUAUAUGAAUGUCAUCUCUUUGAUUCGUGUUAACAAUGACACUUCUAUUAACAUUAUCUCUGGUUCAUGUUAACAAUGACACUUACAAAAGCAUCAUCUUUAAACAUUUUCUAUUAAAAAAAAUUUCUAUUUUGUUAUUAAAAUAAUGGAUUUUUUUAUACAAAUAAGAAAAAGAAAAAAACAAUUACAAGCUAUAAAAUUAAAUUGAAUAUUGCCAAAUAAAUAUCCUCAAAUGUUGAAAUACAACAACUUAGUUCGAACAACUAAUUUAACUACUUAUAUAUACUAAUUACAUAUAAAUUUAUUAAUUAUAUCAAAAUAUUUUCAACAAUCAAAUGAGCAAAUAUUAGUACAAAGACCAUCAAGGUAAAACCAUAAUCUACAAAAGCAUAGUUCAACCUCUUCACAUAUUCAUUAAUGUAAUCUUCAUGGUUUUCAAUAUAAUGAUUUCUUUUCUUUUAGCGAAUCAGACUUCUUUGCACUAGUCUCAUUUGCAGCCUAUAAAUAUAGAUAGGAAGAAUAGAAAACCUCUAAAUUAUGCAUGCAAUCAGCACUAAGUUUUUCAAAACUACAUGCUUCACAAAAAUUAAUUUUGGUUAUUCAAAUUUGUUCCCCACGCUGAAUCCCCUUAGCCUCUUAGAUAUUAGAAUGAAUAGGAGACAUUAAGGGAUCACAUUCCUUAAACUAUAAAGGAUCAAAAUAGGGGUUGUGUUCCUUUGAGUUCAUUACAAGAAAAAACAAUUUAUAUUAUGAAGAGUUUAAACCAAAUCUAACUUAAUGAUGAAACUCAAAAUUCAAAAUUCAACAAACAACUUUACAUAAUCAUGUUGGUAAAUGCCUAGAAAAUCAUAUGUAAGUUUGGGGAUUGGAUUUAACUUAAUAAAGUUAAUAAAAAUAGGAAUCAUCCAAAAAAUCAUUCUUAGAAACCAAAACCCAUUUGUGAUAAGUAUCUUUAGUUUAUUGAUGCUAUAAUCAAACUAAUGACCACUAAACAUUGCAUCCUACCUAACCAAAUGAAAAUGGGAGGUUGUUUCCUAUUCCUAAUGGCACUAUAGCAAUUGGUGGUGGCUCAGGUAAUUUAAGAUCAGAAACUACUCCAAGAGCCAAUUAGUUGUACCAUCCCCACCUACAACUUAGCAAUUUAAGAUUAUCUUAUAUAGCAUAACAAAGAAACCAAAAAUUUUUAGGUUCCAUUGUGCAAAAAUUGUAAGUGAUCUAGAAAAGUAAAGGUAUCCCAUGGGUAACAUUUAUUAUUUAACAAAUGAGGUACUCACUAUUAUUCUCAAUCUGUUCUAGAUUUUGGAGGCUAAAAUAUCUCCAUUGUGCUUGAGCUUCCAAAAGACAAGUCCCUGAUUUUGAAUCAAAAACCUACUUUUGAUGCUUAUAAAUCAACCAAUUAAAAAUGUGUCCUUCCUAAUUAAAUAAACAAAAAAAGAGAAAAAAAAAUAUAUUAUGAGAGAUGCCAUGGAAAGGGACUAAUGGAUGGCUUAGGACAAAAAACUAGAUCUCUUUUCUUUAUUAUAGGAUCAGAACACCUCAUUCCUUUACAAGAUUUCAAUUGCAACUCAAUCAUUUUUGUUAUCUUCUCUUAUUAUUAAUAAUUGUUCUCCAUAACAGAUCCAAAAAAUGAUUUCUUAGAAAAAUUCAAGUCAAUAAAUAAAUAAAUGAUAAUGAUAAAUAACAAAAAAAAAAAAAAAAACAAAUCAACACCAAUUAAAAAAGAUUUAUGUUGUCCUCGGAUUAGGAAAACUAAAAAACGUAAAAUGUAUUGUGUUUUCCAGGACAAAAAUAAAAUAAAAUGAUUUGUUCUCUAUUACAAAUAUGAAAACAAAAAUGAUUUCUUGGAAAAAUUCAAGUUCAAGUUCAAGAAAUAAAAAAAAAUGAUAAUGAUAAAUAACAAAAAAAAAAAAAAAGCAAACAAAUCAACACUAGUUAAAAAUUAUUUAUGUUUUCUCCAUAUCAAAAACUAAAAGAAAUAGAAAAUAAAUUUUAAAAAAAAAACCUCAUUCAAAUUGAAGUCAUUUUUGGUGUUCUUAUAAUACAAUUGUGCAACCUUGGUGAGAUGGAGCUUGUUGGUGAUCUUGCAAUUUCUUUGCUAAUCGAAGAGAUGAUGUGAUGAAUGGAGGAUUAGAGAAAGGAAUUGAAGAAAAGACGUAAUGAAUGGAGGACUGGAGAGAGAAAGAUAGCGGUACAAAAGGUGAAGCCUUUGGGAAAAGAGUUGUCUUCAACGGCAAUGGUGGUGGGUUACUAAUGUGGGUAUAUGCUCUAAGUUCUUUUUUUUUUCUUUUUUCUUUUUUAUGACUAUUGGGGUUUGAGGGUUUCAAGUAUGAGAAUGAAAACAAGGGAUUUAUUUAUGAGAAAAUAAAAAUGGCACUUCUAACAAGUGCUAAGGUUGUUCAUAACACAAGCUCCUACCAUGACACUUUUAAAAAGCACUAAGGAAUAUAAAUGAUUUAGAAAAAGUACAAAAAUUGUUUGAGAAGAGACGGGAUUGGAAGACGAAGCCUCACUGCUCCUUUGUGAAGUAGAUCAUGUUGUGAGGAAGCUCGUUUGUUGAUGAAGUCUCUUCGUCUGACAACUAUAGGGAAAUAGAGUUGGGGAUGUAAAAGUGAGCCCAAAACUCUUGUUUAGAUAACUUGUCCAUAAGGCAACCCAUUCUGGAGAGCCCACACCUAGAAGUCUUCAUCCUGUCACAUUGUAACCUGUCGCUUGUGGAAGCAACCCCUCUUUUAUCCAUGAAGCCAGACAAAACAAAGGUUGUAUAGACAUCUGUGUGGCAAAAUCACAAAUUGGUCAUUACAAUGACUCCCUAGUUGGACAGGCUCGUAAAUGGGUUGUUUUCUUAGAGUGGCCAACCAUCUCAACAUAGACGAACUACAGUCAAGAGAGGCUUGAUAGGCAAGUUAUCUAAAAUUGUCCAAACCCCUCUUAGUGGCAAUGCUCUCUACUAGAAACAUAUUUUAACACUAAUCUAGGCUACACAAACUCGCAAAAAAUCAAGAACAUUAAAAAACAACAAUGACAAGAACAAUAUUCAAAUGUAGAAAACAUCAUGAACGACAAUAUGAACAAACCAAUAUCAACAAAGCAUCAAUUUUCUAUAAUAAAUGAGAACCAACUUGACGCUGAGAAGAAUGACCAUUGAUGAUGUCAUAGAGAAUUGCCGCAAAAAAUAACCAACAAUACUAGGAUUGGUACUACCGAUGGUAAUGACAAAAACACAGAAAUGGUGCAAAUGGUGAAUAGGAAACUCAAAACGGAAUGGGAAAAGAAACCUAAAUAGGAGUCUCCUAUAUAAAGCACACAACAUGUACAUUGAGGCAUCUUAAGGGACACGCCGCCUGAGAAGUCACUCUAAUUGAUGUGAGCUCUCAUAACGUGGACGAUGGACAUAUGUCCCAUGGUGCCAAAAACUUCAAACACUCAAGCAACUGAAUACUUCCACUUGGUCAUUUAGAGACUAGCCAAACUCAGCUGCAAGAAUUAGGGGGCAUUGUGGGACACUCACCACUGUCUAGCAUGAUCCCAAAGCACCAUCUGGUGUGAGGCAUAAUGGCACAAGAGCCAUGUAGCUUAUUUGUCCACCUCAAGAUACUCCUAGGGUAGCAAAUGAACACAAUCCAACCAAAUACUAUGCAUUUCUACCCUACAAGCAUUAAUUGCAAUGAGAAAUAAGUGCAUUAACACAUUGAUGAAUGCAACCGUUAUAACGCUAAAAUGCCAACCUUUUAAGGCUCAUCAAGGCACAACAACCAUUAUGGGCUGACCAUCAUUGGCAUUAAAGAUGGUAAUGCGUAAUCAAAGGCUCAAUUAAGGCCCUUUAGAAGACGUUACAAUUGGACAAAUAUAAAUAGCCAUUUUUUACCACAAGAAGUGUAUGAUGCCAUUUUUUUCACAAAAACUUUUGCCUAAGUCUUCCAUCUCUAACCUAAGCUUUGAAGGGGUGUACCUAGAAAACCCAUCCGAACAUUCCUUUGUGUAGGUGCAAUCGUCGUCUACGUCAUGCGGAGGCUAGUCGGACACCUUUGUUGGUCAUGCACCAACAAAUCCAUUUGGUCUAACUCAUUUAUCCGUUCAGGUAAGAUGGAAGGAGUGGCUUGAAGAUAGAUUGACAAUAUCAUAGUUUCUUAUAUUGGCAAAGUAGCAGCAACCCCGGCUAGUGCAUCAGCCCACUCAUUUUCCUCUAGGGGUACGCAUUUGAUAAACUAUUCGUUCAAUUUUUCUGUUCAAGUGUCACCAAAGUGAGGUAACGAGCCAUGCAUUCGUCUCAAGCUUCAUAUUCUCGUUAGAUUUGUCUGACGACUACUAGUGAAUCGCUUUUGAUUUCUACUUUUGUGGUUGUGAGAGCUAAAGCUAGAUCAUCCUAUAGGAAUUAGUUCGUAUUCUGCCUCAUUAUUGGAUAUUGGAAAGUUGAGACAGACGACUUGUUCAAUUUGCUCUCCCAUAGGGGAUUGUUGUGUUAGUCCUAUCUUGGCUUUUGAUGUUUUGGAGGCUCCGUCUACAUGGAGAACAUGCCAUUGUUUUUCUUUGUUAGACCUUGUCCGUCUCUAAGGUGGUUCGACUAUGAAAUCAAUAGGAACUUGCCCUUUGAGAGAGUAACGAGGUUUGUACCGUAUGUCGUAUUCACUCAAUUCGAUUGCCCAUUUCAUCAUCUAGCCAUAUAGAUUUGGCUUGUGUAACGUGAUCCACAACGGUUGAUUUGUCAAGACCGUUAUUUAGUGUGCCUAAAAAUAUGGACAAAGCUUCUUGGCAGCGAUCCGUAAGUCGAGAGCCAUUUGUUUCACUUGGGAAUAUCAUGUUUUUGUGUCAAUCAGAGCUUUGCUCACAUAGUAAACAAGUUUUUUUCUCAUUACUCUAAUUGUGUAGAAACAAUAUGACAUUGAUAGCAAAGUUUAACAUAGCUAGGUACAUGUACAACUCUUCUCCUACUUCAGAACUACUUAAGAUUGGUGGCUUCAUAAGAUACCAUUGGACGUCUUCAAAGGCAUGCUCACACUCCUCCAUCUAAGCAGACACCUUUGCUUUUUAGAGCGUGCUCAAGAAAUGUCUGAGCUUAUUUAUGAAGCGUGUUAUGAACCAGCCUAAGGCAAUUAGACGACCAAUUAGGCGUUGCACCUCCUUCUUGCUAGCACGAGCAGGGGUUUCUAACACUUCUUUCACUUGAGCCAAAUUGACUUCAAUACCCCGUUUGAGUCACCAUGAACACAAGAAACUUCCCCUCACUUACUCCAAAUGCGGAUUUGAGUGGAUUAAGCUUCAUAUCAUAACUACGCAUUAAGCUAAAUGCUUCUUCCAAAUUGAGGAGCUUCUUGGAGCGGGUUCUUCUCUCAAUGACUAUGUCAUCGAUAUAGACUUUCAACGUUAGGCCUAUCAAAGGCUUAAAAAUAUGGGUCAUCAACUAUUGGUACGUAGCUCCAACGUUCUUCAACCCAAAUGACACGAUCUUGUAAAAUUACAACUCCUGAUGUGUAAUGAAUGUCAUCUUCUCCUCGUCAUAUGGAAACAUUGGUAUAUGAUGGUAUCCAGAGAAAACAUCAAGAAAAGACAACAUUCUAUGCCCGAUUGUGGCAUUAACUAUUUGAUUUAUCUAGGUUAAUGAGAAGCUAUCUUUCGAGCAGACUUCAUUCAGAUCCGCAUAGUCUAUGCACACUUGCCAUUUUUCUCAUUUAUUUGGUACCACCACCACAUUUGCUAACCAGUCCAAGUAGGUCACCUUCUUGAUAAAUCUUUCUUCUAACAGCUUCUGAAUUCUAUUUAGAUAAUUUUCUAACGAUCCAAAUGGAAGCGUUGGACUUUAUAUUGUAUGGGUUGUGCUAUAGAAAGAAGGUUCAACUUAUGAAAAACCAUCAUUAGGUCUAUUCCAAGCAUGUCCAAAUGAAUCCACUUAAGGAUAUCCUUGUUUUUACAAAGCAUUUUGCCAAGAUUACCACAUUCAUCCCUAGUUAGCAAAAAACUGGCGUAAGUCAUCUGCUCAUUAUUUUUCGACAGAGAUAACUAUUGUAAUAGGUUAAUUGCCAACAAGUCUCUAUCUUCUAGUUUUCCUUUUACCUGAUUUUGUAAUUGCUAUUGAUCAUCUCUUGUUGAUGAUUUGAGUUCAUCUUUAGCUGGGUCAACGAGCUCGAACUCCAUCGCCACUUGGUAACACCAUUAGGCAGCUAAUUGGCUCUCGUGUAAAUCUACUUACUCAUAUUCUAUCAGGUAGCUCACCAUCUUAUGGUAGGUGGAUGGAAUGACUUUCAUCUUAUGUAGGUACGACCACCCUAUGAUGGUGUUGUACGACGGUAAAUCCUCUAUUACAGAAAAUCGUACGUUGAGAGUAGGUAGGUUGGCUUAGAUGGGAAGUACCAUGUCGCCUAGGGAUAUUGUGGUGGCCCCAUUAAACCCGAACAAGACUCGAAUUGGAUUUUCUAAGGCAUCUGCAACAAAUCGGAAUGAUCAUUUUAGGAAAGAUCACUCGAUUAGUGUCAAUUCGAGGAAAUGUGAUUGGGUCGUUGACUGGCUGGGCACUUUCAACAGUAAAUAUGCACUGAGCUGCACUUACUCUUUCCCUCCCUGUAGUCACGCAAAGUAUUCAUCUCCUUUGUUGUUUGGAGUGAUAUUUGUCAUCUACUAGUCUCCCAUGGAUAUAGUUAAUCACUGCUCUAUGUGUUUUGGGAAAGUUAGGACCUCACUCCGGAACUUCACGUGUCAUUUCUUUAUGUCCACCAGUUGCUUAGACAUACAACUUGAGAUGUUCAGUAAUAAUUAGUUUCUCCACCAAGUAGUGCAAAUUUUUGUACUCUUCUAUGGUGUGCCCAUGCUCCUUAUGAUAGAAUCAUCAUAAUCCUCGAUCACGCUUGGAUGGAUCAAUUUUAAUGGGCUCAACCCACUUGAACUUGAGCAGUUCUCAAAUCAAAGGGAGAAUUCUUUCGUAAAGGACGGUCAACAAGGUGAGCCUAUGCGAUUGUCGUUGUUGUUAUCCUUUUUACCCUUGGUUGUCCUAUUUGGACUGGCCAUUUGAGGGCUUUAAGUUCUUAGCCUUAUUAUUUUUAGUUUCUUAGUUCAUAACUAAGAUCUGUUGAAAGGCUGCCCGAACAUCAUCCUCAAGCAUGACAUGUUUGCCCACUUGUCUAAAUAGGUCAUUCAUUGUAGUGGGCAACUUUUUGGCCAUGGACUUGAAGAAUUGAGUGCUUGGACUAAUGCUCCAUUUGAAGAUCUGUAGGAUAGCAUCCAUGUUGUAGGAUUCCACGUGGAACACUGUUUGUCUGAAUCACUUCAUGAAGUCUCUUAGUCAAUCAUUCUCUUGCAUCCAAAUGUUCUAUAAGGUGCUUAUAUUCUGCUUUUGGUGAACAUAACAUAAAUAAUGGCCCACGAGGGCCUUUAAGGCAUCUCAUAAUGAAUUAAUAGAUUCUAUGAGAGUUGAUGGAAUCAGGAAAUAAUUGGACCAUGGAGGCUGGUGGAAAAGACUUUGCAUAGUAACACAUCGCUGCCUAUGUCCAAUGUCAUCAAUUUUCGGAAGUGCAUCAGGUGGAAAAAGGGUCACCAUCGCAUCGUAAAUAGUAAAUUUAGGCACCAGAAACCCCUGGGUGGCUCAUAACUAAUGAUAUGUGGGUCAAACGACAUGAAGAGCAUGUCAUCCAAUCAUCUAUUUAUGGAGCUGAAAGGGGUUUUUGUUGAUGGGUCAUUUUUCAGUUGUAGUUCUGGUAUUGAACAUUGAGGCAGACAGCUUGGUGAUGCAUCAUCGUUUAAUUGGCCUAAUCAUGCUUUCAGGGCCUCCAAUUUGCGUGGCAGUGCCAAUGUUCUUCUCUCCUAAGACCCAAGAUGGGCUUUCAAGGUGUUUGAGAUAUGUAAGCCCCAUUCUUAACCCAUUUUUCGUUUUUCUCCAAUAUAGCUUGUAGCCUCUUCUACUUGAGUUCAGUCAACUGCUGAAUGCACUAGUUCAAGUAAUGUUGGGGAACUGCUAGUAGACAGUCCCUUGUCCACUGAAUGUAGAGAUGAAUUAGUGUAUCAUUGAGGAACUUUCAUUGUUUGGCUUCAAACUACUCUUGAAGUUGUCUAUUGGUUAGGGAUGCGAUUACUUUUUUAUUAGCAUCCCAUAGCCACCUGUGCUAGUAGCUCUUGGUUCUCUUGCUACAGUUGUUUCACUUGUUGGACAGGGACUGAAUAGUUUAUUCAUAUUCUUCUUGUUUUUUUCAUUCUUUCUUUGCUAGGCUUGGAAUCACUCGUCAACAUUGGUAGAGUGAGUCGCAGAAGGCGUGUUAACCAUCAUGUUUUUCAAGCUUUUGUGUUUGAUUCCCAUAGACAAUGCCAAUUUUGGUGCAUGACCAAUAAAAAAGGUGUUUGCUAGUCUCCAUGUGACAUAAACGAUGAUUGCACUUGCACAGAGGAAUGUUUGAAUGGAUUUUUCAAGCACACCCUUCUAAAGCUUAGGUCAGGAUGGAAGACUUGAGUAAGAGUUUUUGUGAAAAAAAUGGCAACAUACCUUUCCUAUGAUAAAAAAAAAAUGACUAUUUAUCUUUGUCUAACUAUAAUAUCUUCUCAGGUGCCUUAAUUGAGCCUUUGAUUGUGCAUUAUCAUCUUUAAUGUCAAUGAUUGUCAGCCCAUAAUGGUUGUUGUGUCUUGAUGAACCUUAAAGGUUGGCAUUUUAGCCUCAUAAUGAUUGUGUCCAUCAAUGCAUUAAUGCACUUAUUACCUAUUGUAAUUAAUGUUUUUCGAGUAGGAAUGAUAGUACUCGGUUGGAUUAUGUUUGUUUGGUACCCUAAGAGUACACUGGGGUGGAUGAAGAAGCCACAUGGAUCUUGUUCUAAUAUGUCUCACACUAGACAAUGUUGGGGAUGAUGUUAGAUGGUGAUGAGCGUCCCACAGUGAAGACGUAUGAUGAAAGCAAAGGUAAGGCUUCUAAACCAAACGUUUUUAGGGAUUUUAAUUUUUUUUUCAACAAAGUUGACCUCUUCAAGGAAAAAAAAAAACUAUUGCUUUUUUGGAUCCAAAUCACCAUUUCCAACGUGAUAUUUAGAUUUCCACCAUGUAUUUUUUUAUUUUUUUUAAUAAUUAAGGGCAUUUUAUGGAUUAUUGAAAGAUAACAUCCUUCAACUUAAUUUCCUACAUUAAUUAGGUCUUGGGCUCAAAUGUGAAAUUUAAGUGGUUGUUAGGUCAUCAAGCCCAGUUACGCUAAAGCAUAAUUUCCCCUUUUCAAAAUAUAUAGUUGUUAAACAUCUGUCACAAACAAUUGUAACCUUUUGAAGUGCUUGGUAUGUUAACCUUGUUUGUUUUUCCUUAUGCAACAUGGCUAAUUGAUUGUUGCAUUGAAUCAUUAUCAUUCACCAAAUCCAUUCAACUAUGGACUACCCUUUCAAAUCCCUCCCACAAAAUGGUAAUUCUUAAACAACUCAAGUAUAAUGUUCCUAACCCUUUCAAAUGAUUUAAUAAAUUGGUGUUUGAAUAUACUUCUUAUAUUUUUUUAAAGUAAUUUUUAGGCACAUAACAUAAAUUUCUAAUUUUUUUUAGAAAAUGUUUUAUAUUUUAUAUUAAAAUUUCCUUUCUUUUCAUCUAAAAAACGAAACAUAAAACCUUAAUAACCGAGUUUUGUCACAACCCCUUAACAAAUAAUCUAUUUUCCAAAAAUUACUUUAACAUAUUUAAACAUAUUGAUUUAGUCUACUUUACUUUUAAUAUUUUUUGAAAAAUAUUUUUAUUUUAUAUGAUUAUUAAUUAAUUAAGAUUGAUUGGGUAUGAUAGAAUAUAUAUAUUCCAAAAUAUAUCGUAUUGAGAACACUAUCACAAGAGAAAAUUCUACAGUGCCUUCGGAGGUAUCAUGCCUUCAUUUUAUUUGAUCCGUUGGAUGGAAAAGAUUUUAUCUCAGCCAUCCAAAUGAAAAGUUUAAAAAAAAAAAAAAAAUCUCGGCUAAUAUCGGGUACCUGUUAGCUCCCCAUUUUCUCGUAUUUCUCUCUAAUUUUCUCUCUUCUCCAUACUCAUCCCCCACAGUCGGGUAUUUGUUCUCUCCCUAUUUUUCUGUCUUUUCCCUUAUUUGCCUCUUUUCUCCAUACUCAUCCCCCACUUAUCUCCACAUUCGUGUGUUUUUCAGUUGAUCCGUGCAUUUUAGCUCUUCUCUGGGUACUUGUGUUUUCUGCUCUUUUCCAUAUAUGAUCUGUACAUUUCGGCUGUUAUUUUCGGGUGUUUUCGGUUGUCUUCUUGUGUUGUUGGAUCUUUGCAUGUGUUGUUAGGUGUUUUCGAGUGAGAUAUUCUAGCUGUUUCGAGUGCUAAAUUCUUAAUGUAGGAAUGGCAUAUUUCCGACUUCUCUCUCUUCUCCGCAUCUCCCUCUGUUGUCUAUAUUUCAUUUUCAUAUUUGGGGUUUUUCAGGUUUUCAAGUAAAGAGUGCGAUAUUCCUACUCCUUCCUCCCUUUUUCUCUCCAUAUCCCCGAUUUUUUUCAUAUUUCAUAUUUGGUUUAAGAGCUAUAAGGGGGUGUUUUCGGGUUCUAAACUUUUUGGUUUGAAGACCCGAAUUUAAGAUGUAGGUGGAAAAAGAAGAAGAAAGCUAAAAAUGACAUAAUUUUUUGUUAAUCAAAAGGCAAUUGUGUCAUAAUUAUUUAAGGUGUUCUAUAUUAAGAAAAAAAAAUGUGAGUAUUGAUAAUGUGUUUUACAAGAUUGUAUCCAUUAUAUUUCAUGUUUUUUGUUAGAUUUAUGGGUUGAUCACAUUAAUGAAAAAUAAUGUGGUUAGAUUCAUAAUUGAACAUUGAAAAUAAUUUAUGUGCUAAUUUUGUCACCAUUGAAAAUGUAGAGAGAUUUAAGGAGGAUUUUGGGGUAGUAAUGAUAUUUGUAUUUUAUUUAGCAUUUGAUUGAUUGUAGUAAGAUAUGAAUAUAAAAUUUACUGAAAUGUGAAAAAAACUUAUGUUAAAAUAAUGUGGUGGUGGAAGUAUAUUUGAUUUAUUAUAUCUGAAAUCAUAUUAUAAAAAUUGACUUAAAUGAUUUGAUUUCAUUUCAUUUUUAGGAGCGAGCACGAUGGUGUUGAAGUUGUUAGAAAUCCAAAGAGACCUAUUGGAGUCUGGAUACAUUACUAAUAAGAGAAAAUAAAAAUAUGUAAAAGAAUAUGUUUUUUUUUUUUUUUUUUUUUGUGGUUAUCAUAGUUAUAUUUGUUUGAAAUUGUUUUGUAGUAACGAUCAAUUGGUCAUGAUCAAAGAGAAGGAUAAAAGAGUGAAGAUAAAUAAUGAUGUAAGGAGUAAUACUAUUGUGGCUAAUAUAAUUAAAUUUUAAAAUUUGAAUUUGAAGUAAGUGACAAAUUAAUGUAAUUGAGGAAAAAAUUGAGCAAGAAGUGGAAUGCACUUUCAAAAGUAGAAAAAGAAGAUUUCAUGACAAAUUCAAAAGAAAGUUCAAAACAAUAUUCACUUCAAAAUGGUGCGGGUCCAAAGGUAAAUUUUUUGUAAUGAAUAAAUUUUUUUAUUAUUUAUGUAUUUGUUGCAAAUUAUAUUAAUGUAAGCAUGUUUGAUGUUUAUGUAUCUUUUCAGUUAUAUCUUAAGACUCGAUGCUCACGCGAGCGAGUGAUUAGAGUUAUUGAAGAAUUAGAACCAAAGUAAAAAAAAACAGUCGUAGAAGAAAUAGGAUUUGGUAGCCUCUUGCAACUUCGAUGUAGGAAAAUUAAUCAUGGGUUAUGUCUUUGGUUGAUAAAUAGUUUCAAUCCGAACACUUAUAUGUUAGAGUUGUAUAAUACUUGUAUCAAAUUAUCCUCAAUUGAUGUUGAACUUAUUAUGGGAUUAAGGGCAAGAGGGUUGAAGAUUGACAUGAACAAAGAUGUUAGGAAUAAGAAUGAUUUGAGUAAAAAUUAUUGCGAUAAAAAGGGGCAAUUGCCAUUAGUGAUGUUUGAAAAUCAAAUUAGGGAGAAUAAAGAAUGUGGAAACGAUUUCAAAGUUCGUUUUGUAUUAUUUGUGUUGGGUGCAUUAUUGUGCCCAACAAUGAAGAUUUUUUUGAAACGUUCUUUCUUACAUCUUGUGGAAGACAUCGAUUCAAUAAAGAAGAUGAAUUAGGUUGAAUUUGUGUUGUCUUAUCUUGUGCAUGGGAUCGAAGAGUUUAAGAGGAAACAACAAAGUGGGGUUUCCGGUUGCUUAUUGUUUUUUACGGUAAUGUCCUUGUACAUAAUUUACAUCAUAGUGAAUUUUGAAUUUGUUAAAAUAAAUUUUAUGAACUAACUAUAUAUUUAUGUAAAAUAUAAUUGUAUUUAUUCUAUCACGAGCAUAUAUCGUUCAAACAGAAAUUUCCACCGCUAUAUACUCGACCUUCUCUUCGGAUUACUGCUUGGGGAGAUGAUGAAGUACUAGAUAUGAAACGAAGAUUGAAAAAACUUGGUGGAUAUGCGAUGACAAUGUAAGUUAUAGUUUCGAAAGUUGUUUAAUAUUUCUUUUUUUUUUUUAGUGAUUUUAAACAGGAUAUGUGUGAUAUAUUGAUGAAUAUAUUGUAGGUGAAAAUAUGCGUGAUACAAAAUGAAAUAAGGGAUCGCGUUAACGAAAAUGAGAUGACAAUGGAGGGCGAGAAUGAGGAGGAUGAGAAAUUUGAAAUCCAUCCAAACAAAGAUGUUAUUAAACAAGUAAGUUUUACAAUAUUCUUCAUGAGUAUAAAUAUUAGUAGUGAAUCCUUGUAUUAUGAUGCUAUUAAUCAAGUUCCUAUAUAUUACUAGGUUGAUGGUGGGAGCUUAAUGGAGAUGGAUAAAAAAUUUCAAUAAUUAAAGACACAUGCAAUUGAUUUGUGUCAUGUUGCAAGUAGUAGUACUUGUGAAAAAGUUUUUACUAAAUUUAAGGAGAAAUAUACAACAUUGAAAGGACUUUUCCUUGGGUCAAGAGAAAAACCUUUGAGGGAGCACGAGGAGGGAAUGAAGAGUGACAUUCUUUCAUACAAGAGAAGUUUGAAAGAGAAAGACAAUAAAAAAGGAAAUGACCAUUAUGUUGACACUUUGUCAAUUGACAAGUUAUGCACUAAGGACGUGAUUGGAAAGAAUGAAGAUGCAUGUGCUACAUCAAUUGAAGUGCAUAUCAUUCCCGAUGAAAAUGUAGAUGUUUUACCACUUCCAAUCAAAAGAACUAGAAACGAUUAUGGAAAAGUAUAUAUAAUAUAAAAAAAGAGUUAUUUUCAUUACAACUACUUAACCAUUACAUAGUAAAUAUAUGUAUAUUAAUGACAUUUUCCAUAUUAGGAACCAUUACGAGCACUAUGUGGUAUUCCCAAGCAUGUCAUGAAAACACGUACAUCGAGAGAGAGGAAAACAAGUAAAUUCAAGGUCUCCCCGUUUGUACACAAUUUAAGGAAGAUGGGAAAACGUCAAGUAUCAGAGGUAUAAUACAAAUAGUUUAAUACCAUGUUCUAUUUUUACACAAAAUAUAUAACUAAUAAUUAUGUCUUUUUUUCAAUUUAGUCAAUCCCCAUGUCCAUUUGUAAAGAUGUGGUGGAUGCUCAAUCAUUCAAUGUACUUCAAUAUCUUGUUGAUGAUUAUGUUUUCAAUAAAUCAUUGUCAACAAGGUUUGUAGUGUCUAGAACAUUCAUAGAUGUGUUGUUACAAUUUUAGCCUUCAUAUUUUUCCAUGUGUGUAAAGAAUGUUUUAUCAUAUUAUUGUUGCAGUGAGUUUCUUGUUGACUUUGAUCAUGAACAUGAAGUACAUGGAGAUUUUGAGUGCUUACGUUCCAGAAAAAAUUUGUUGGAUGUUGUAAGUAUCUAUUUGAUUUUUAUCAAAUGAGUGCUUUAUUAAUGAAAUAAAUUUAUUAAAGUUAUUGGUUAAUAACAGGUAAUAAAUCUAGAAGCAUCAAAGCUAAAUUAUUUUGAGAGGCAAUUCAUAGGCAUACGAAAUAUAAGAUGCUAUCUUCCCACAACAUUUUUAGUAAGCUCACAUUUGUCUUAUUGUUUAGUUACAUAUUAAGUAUAAUAUACUAAUGUUUGCAUUAUGUUGUAUUAUUAGCAAAUGAUUUUUUAAGGGAGUCCUCAACCUUUUUUUGAUAGAAAAACAUCCAUCGUGAGUAAGUACAUUAGCAAAUUGGAUGAUUUUGAGAAGGUUAGUAAUUAUUUGUAAUGUUUAAUUACAUAUAUCAAAGUUAUAGUAGAUAUUGUUUUCACCUACAAUAGAGUAGAUAUUUUGUGUGCCAAUUCAUAGAUAUUAUUUUCUAACUUUACAACUAUUUAUUCCAAUGCAUUAUAAUUGGCUUAGUCAUUGGUAUCUUUGUGUCAUUGACUUUAAAAAUUCUAAUAUCCAAAUUUUGGAUUCAUUGCGAUCAAGGAGUCAAGACGAGUUUCGAUUUAAGAGUGUCAAAACAGUGAUAUGCUGUCAAACUAUGAUUUUUUUUUUUUUUUAUCUCUUGCACAAUUAUUAACACUUUCAAAAUAAAAUAGGUUGAAUUUUGUUAAACAUUCUUCAAACUUAAUGGCAUAGGGAAAGAUGUCUUCCAAUUCUCCAUUGAUUGGGCUCCUUUGAUUUCGACCUAAGAUAAUGGGUUAGUAUGAAUAUAUAACUCACAUGAAUAUUGUUUAUCUGAGAUAUAAUUAUACAUCAAUUUAAUAAGUUAUUUUGUUUUUCUUAUAUUUUCCUUAGGUAUGACUAUGGAGUGCAUGUCAUUAAACAUAUGCAGACAUUCCAAAAUGGUGAUUGCAUCAAGGCCUCUAACUUAUGUAAUUAUGUUAAAAUACAUCGUGAAAUAGCAAGUGAUUUAGUUUUACACGAGGGCAAUAGAGAAAAACAAACCAUUUUGGCUAUUGUUUGUACAAAUACAUCCACAAGAGAAUGAGAAGAUUAUUAUUAUGACAUUUGUUGUUUUUCCAAUAUUUAUUAUUUCCAUCUCCGCAUAUGGUCAUGUUCAUGGGAAGUUGUGACCUUGGAUGAGCAUACGGGGUUCAUGAUCAGUUCGUUUUAUUUGAAUAUGCUAUACUCUUCUUUGAAUAUGUUAGGCAAAAUGAAAUUGUAAUAUAUAGCAUUAUUCAUUUUCUACAUGUAUGAUUUUCUACGUCUGUUAGGGAUUAGAAUGUUUUUUUCUCCCUAUAUACUUUGGGUUGCUUUUCAAAUUUAUAUAUAUAAAUUCUUCGUACCCUCCCCAUUCUCCACUUCUUUGAUGUUUUAAAUUUUUUUUGAGACUUCAUAUGGCUUGGAUAUUGUUUAAAUGAGUUCAUUACACUUAAGGGGUGUUCAAAUGAUGCCCAAAAAAAUCAAACUUCAAAAAUACUUUAAAAUAAGAAAUGGUACAAAAAAUGUGAGAAAUCCUUACAUUCUUCGUAUCCUACCCAUUCUUCAUUUCUUUGAAAUUUUAAAAUAAUUUUGGGACUUCAUAUGGUUUGGAUAUUGUUUAAAUGAGUUCAUUACACUUAAGGGAUGUUCAAAUGAUAUUUGGAAAUAUCAAACUUAAAAAAUACUUAAAAAUUAGAAAGGGUAUGAAAAAUGUGAGUAAUCCUCACAUUCUUCGUACCUUCCUCAUUCUCCACUUCUUUGAUGCUUCAAAAUUUUUUUGGGACUUCAUAUGGCUUGGAUAUUAUUUAAAUGAGUUCAUUACACUCAUGGAAGAAAAUAUCGCGAUAUAUCGUAUAUCGAAGGGUAUGGAUACGAUAGGCGAAAUUUUGGCGUUAUUUCCCGAUAUAUCGAAUGGUCAACGCGCUAGAGUGCUCCCUAAAAAAUGCCUUUUUUUUUUCUUUUUUUUUUUUUGCCGUUGAGUGGACUCAAACCUCAAUCAAAAGGUUUGGGAUUCAACUCAUUUUACCACCAAAGCAAGUUUGCCCCUUGUUAGAUGUAAUGCACUAAAAAUAUAUAUUCAAAGUCAUCAUAUAGAGAAAAUUUUAAAAGAAUAUUUUAGAGAGCAAAUUAAUUAUAAUUAUUUUAUAAUUAAAUGCAAAAAUUUCUUUUAAUUGAUUACCAAAAAUAUAAAAAUUAUCAUAAUAAUUUUCUUCAUAGUGUUUUUAAUAUCAUUAAUAAAUUAAUUAAAUAUUAAAAAAUUGUACAUAUAUCAUAAUUUAUUUUAUAUCAUUUAAUACAAUGGAAUUAAAUGGAUCAUAAUUUUAAUAUUAAUAUAUAUUUUUAAAAUAGACAUAUUAUAAUCAAAUAUCAUAAUAUUAUUAUGAAAUAAUAUUUGAUGUAAUUUAAUAAUAAAUGUACAUUUAUAAAAUUCAUAUUUUUAUCAAUGUAUACGAUAUUAUUAUCAAAUAUGAUAAAUCAUAUUAUACAUAUAUCAAAUUAUUUAAUAAAACAACUUUAAAAUAUCUAUUAUACUUCUAAUUAUAUUUUUAUAAAAAUUUUCUUAUAUUUUUAUAAAUUUUGAUCAAUUUUACGUCUAUCAAUAUUUUUUCCAAAAUAUCCGUCGAUAUAUCCAUAAAAUCGAAAUACCGAUAUAUCUUAUAUUUUUAUCUUUGAUUACACUUAAGGGGUGUAAUUCCUCACAUUCUUCGUACCCUCUCGAUUCUCCAUUUCUUUGAAAUUUUAAAAUAAUUUUGGGACUUCAUAUGACUUGAAUAUUGUUUAGAUAAGUUCAUUACACUUAAGAGGUGUUCAAAUGAUGCCCAAAAAAAAUCAAACUUCAAAAAUAUUUAAAAAUUAGAAAGGGUACAUGAAGAUUUCCAAUCCUUGGAGUAUUGAAAAGAAUGCGUCCAAAGGACACUGCCCUAUGUGGACUACGUGAUGAAUACACAACAAGCGCAGGGUAAUGAAGUGAGGAAAACUGAGGACAAAUGCAAAACCAUGAAGGUAAGAUGUGCAAUGCCAGUGAAUAUGAAUGUCAGGAGUUGUGACUCUGAAUGACAAGACUGACUUUAAAUGCUAAAUUGAGAAAAAUAAUGGCUUUGGAAGCCAAACAAAAAAGCUAACUCUAAACACUAAACUAGAAGGCCCAUAGGUGAAGACUUACAGUGGUGAUACAAUAAAAAUGUCCAUAGAUGCCAAUCUAUGGUGGUGAAACUCUCAAAGGCCCACAGAUAAAAAUCUAUGGUGGUGAAUCUGAAAUGCCCAUAGAUGAAAAUCUAUGGUGGUGAAUCUGAAAUGCCCAUAGAUGUCUGAUCUAUGGUGGUGAAUCUGAAAUGCCCCUAAAUGUCCGAUCUAUGGUGGUGAAUCUGAAAUGCCCCUAGAUGUCUGAUCUAUGGUGGUGAAUCUAAAAUGCCCAUAGAUGAAAAUCUAUGGUGGUGAAACCGAAAGAAGGGGGAUGCCUUAAACAAACUAAUGGUGAGGGAAUAUCUUAAACAAGAUGAAAGAAGAGGGAUGCCCUAGGUGAUAGCUCGUAAAGAUCGACAAAUGAGUCUGACAACCAUGAAAUUAGCAUGAGACAUGGAAAACCCAAAGAAGGGGGUAUCCCUAGCAGAAAAAACGCUAAAAUGAGGGGAAUAUCUCGAUAUGACGACUCACAAAGAUCAAGAAAUAUAUCGAGCAAUGAGAAAGAUCUGCAAAACAUCUGAUGAACUCAAGAAUGGAGGUAUGCCCCAAUGUAGGAUAGUAACUAACAUAAGACACAGAAUGUCACCAUACAAAACACUCUAGGAUAUGCUCAACGAUGAUGCAAUGAAAAAUAUAUACAUAGCCUCAAUGAACAAAUGCUAAAACAAUACCAAACAUCACCGAAACUAUGUUGACAAAGCAAAACUAAAAUAAUGGAUCAAACAAAUGCUAACCAAGACUCUAAGUCUAAAAUGUAAGCAAAUCAAGACACGACAUGUCAACUAUCAAUAUGAGUACAUCAUCACAAAUGUAUUAACAAUCUAACAGGCCCCACCAUCAUGGAAAAUGUUGAACCUAAUGUCCAAAGGCAUGUGAAAACUCAACCAGAAAGCUCAAGACUAGUCUGUAUCUUCUUUUGAUCAAUAGAAUGGGAUAAGGUCAUGUAAGACGAUGAUAUAUGUGAGCUCAAAAGAUGUAAGGCUCUGAUAAGAUGGGUGCAGGUAUAACGGUGUCCAAUGUAGGAUGUAUGGGUGUGUAACAAAGGAAAGUGGGUACCCAAGUCAGACCAAGUAUGUUGAGAAUACUGAACCUAGGGUGUCGAUGACUCUAUGAUCCAUCAAAAGUAGCAAUCAUAAAUAGGAGGUGGAGUCUCAAUGUCAAAAUCAACAAGAUGGCUACGCCCUAGUAUGAAUGCAUCAUCUCAAAAUGGGUAAGCCCUCAGUGCAAGAUAAACACUAGGAAGUAUGUGUCUGGCAUAAACUAUCAUCUCACAAAAUCAUCAUUGAUGAGUAGGCUAUGCCCCAGUGUAAGCAUCUCCUAAUCAAACAUCAAUGAGAGGAGUACAACCAAUCAUACAUCAUCUGAUCAAAAUGAAUCUCCACUUUUCAAAGUCAUCGUGGUAACAUGAAGAGAGUAUCUGACCUCCUCUAAAGAAAAAACAUGUCUCAAUGUGAAAAAGAUCAAGCAAAGUGGUAUGCCUCAACAAAAAUGCGCUCAGACAUGAUCAUGCCCUGAUGUAAGCUAGUAUCUCUAAGAUCAAUCGCCAAUGAAAAGGUUAUGCCUCAAUAUAGGGCAAACUCUGAAAUGACUAAACUCCUUUGCAAGCUCUCAUAAGUGUCUGUGUCCUGAUCCAAUCAUCGCAAAAAUUUGUCAACAAUGAUGAGAAGGCUAUGCUCCUGUAAUCACAUCAAAGAAAUCACCCGGUUAUAUUACUCCAAUGUGAAAGGAAUCUAAUCACCUCCAAGGAACAACUAUGCCUCAAAACCAUCAUCGACUGAGAGGGGGAUGCCCCUAAUCCAAUCACCACCCUAACUAACGUACCCAUCAUGAGAAACACUUGUCUGAGCUCCAUAAUGGGGAUCAACCACUAGAUGAACAAGAUUCAAAUAUUACUUGCUCCCCAUUUCAACCAAUGAAUGACGUACUUGGAAACCUUGUAGACAACCAUAGUUUUCAGCCUUCUUCCUCACGAUCAUACAUCAGCAUGUGGCCCAUACACCCUCCAAAAUCUUCACUCAUAUAGUAAGUUUUAGAUUUAAAAGAGUUAGCCUCCUGGUGAGCAACCCGAUAUCUAUUACGAAUGAUGUAUCUGAAACACCUUUCCCACGGGGCCCUUGAAGGAUUCACUAGAAGGUGACCAUGCAUAGUAGGUCUUCACUCACAGGAGAAUAGGAAGGAAAUAAACCUAAAGGGGGGUUGACAGCGUAGUCUAGAAGGUGAUGAGUUGAGCGGGUGGGGGUAUUAGGGUGGUCAAGUUCAGUGGGUAUGAAGGGUGGAAAGAUGGCAUGAUAGAGGAAUAAGCAGCUGAUAGUGGGUGCGAUGAUAUAAGGUAGGUUGACUAUGGAGAGUAUGGCAUUAAAGGAUGAAGACUUAGAGAGAGAGAGGUGGGUUUAAGGGUAUGGUGAGAUGGAGGGUUGAGGGUGAUAGGCUUGGAUAGUUGCAUGAGGAGGAUGAAAGGUGGGUAUGGAAAAUGUGCAUGGGUAGGAAAUGGGUAUAACAAUGGGUGUGAAUAUUGAGAGGUAGUGAAAUGAAGGCAGCCUUGCUCGUAUGGAUCAGUGUCGGAUUGAGUUAAGAAUGGUGAGAGAAAGGGAUUCGAUGAAUAUUGAAUGAUGGAAAAUGGUGAUUGGUUAAAUAGGGAUUUGUGGUCGAAUGGAAAUAGGAGACAUGAACAUAGAGAUGAGUGUGAUGGAUCACAGUGGGCAUGAAGGGUAUUGGAUUUGUUCAUGGGUAUAGUGGUUAAAAGAGUGGUGAGAAGAAAAAAAAAAUGGCCAUGCAAAUAGCAAUUAUACAUGUGGGCCCGUGAUUGCAAACGGGACUGCAUUGUUGCAUCUCAUGCUGAACCCUCACCUCCUUCUAGGAUCAUUUUCUGCAUCAAAGCUGGAUAAACUUAGAUGGUAUUUCCUGCCAAUUUUGGAUGCCCCCCACUUUGGAAAUAUUUCCUUUUCACCCAUCAGAAUAUGCUUAUCAGGUGUACUUGACUCAGGUUCAUUCCCAUAUUGCCUCUCUGAUUUAUGAUCUUCAAAGGUUUUGCAUGAAGGAAGUCUUUCACUGCAUUCCCCUUCAUCCACCAGACCUUCAGAGCAUCGUUUCCAACAAAAGCAGCCUUGACUCUUCUAGUCCCAUCAGAAAAAAGUCUGAAUAUCCUCAGUUUAUGUCAUCCCUUGAUGCCCAACUCAAAAAUGAUCCCAAAAACAGUCAUCUCCCAUAUUUGGCUUCCCAGAAACACCUCGACUCAGAUGGCCAGUCCAAAUGUGAUACCCAACAUUCUAAAAAUGCUAAAAACAGAUGAGAUGAUGAAGAAAAACAGAGCAUGUAUAAAAGAAAAAAAAAAGAACUAUUAAAUCUCACUCCAUUCCAUAAAUGCUAAUGGGGUGGAUAUGGUGGAAUCAAAAGGAAGCAAGAGCGUGAUCUUCAAAAUCAAAAGCAAUGAUGGAUCCAUAUUCAAAACGUUACAGAAUAGAGAAAGACACAAAUAAGGAGCAGGGUUUUUUUUGGUUACUGGCAGGAAGAUAUUUUUUCUAGAGAGUAACUAGAGAGAAAAAUAGGAAGAAAAGGGAAGAGCAUAGAAGACAUCUACAUAGGAGAGUAUUCAUUGUUGUGAGGAGUAGUAGAGAGCUUAGGAGGAGUUACAAAGAGAGUGGGUUUGGUUAGAGGAGGAAGUUUUGUUGGUUUUUCAGAAAGGAUUCUAGCUUGAGUGAGAGGCAUUCUAGAGAGGGUUAGAGAGGAGAAAGGUGUGUUUUGAGCAGCAAAGACACGAAGCAAAAGAGAGUAGCCAGGAAAGAGAAGCAGAAAAUCAAAAUUACUAAAAAAAUUAGUGAAAGCUGUGAAAUUCCAUAUUGUUACUAAUUAUUAUAAUUUUUUUUAUAUUUUCAAUAUUUCAACCAAUAUUUUAUAUAAUUAAAUUUAAAUUAUAAGAAUUAUAUUAUUAAUACACAUAACUAUCGUAGUGUUUUAACAAUGUAUACUUAUAUAAAUUUAUUUCAAUUUUUUUUAUUUUUUUAUAAAUAUCUAAUUAGACUUACAAUUCAUUGAAAUUAUUCAUUUUUUUUACUUCAUAAACCAAUUAUAUUACUUUUCGUAUUUUCAAUAUUCAUUUGGAAAAAAUAAUUUCAAUUUAAAAUAAAAUAAACUAAUUGACUUUCAAUUUAUAAAUUAUGUCAUUGAAUUAUUUUUUAUUUACAAUAUUUAGUUUAUUUAAAAAAAAAAAUUUUCUUCACCUCUUUGGUUUGUCACUUUAUAUUAAAAAAUAAAAUAAAUUUUAAUUUCUUUUCUUUUAGAAAAUUUAUAUUUUCACAAAUUAUUCAAUAUUUUUUUAAUUUUUAUAAAAUAAAUCCUCAGAUUAUAUAAUUGGAUAUUGUAAAGAGUUAAAAAUUUUGUGUUGCAUUGAAUUAUUUUUUCUAACGGGCGAUAUAUCGUGUAUCGGGAGGGGUCGACACGAUAUUUCGUGAAGAAAAAUCGGAGGAGAGAUAUUUCCAUAAAUAUUGCCAAAAUAUCGAUGAUAUAUCGGUUCGGAGAGAUAUAUCGGAGAUAUUUUUAAAAAAUUGCCUCUGGUGGCAAAAUAUCGGUGAUAUAUCGGCGAUAUAUUGGUGAUAUAUUAGAGAUAUAUCGCUGAUUUUUUGGUGAUAUUUCCCCUCCUUCAUGCAACGUGAUCUGACGGCCCAGAUCACACCCGUGUUGAUCUGACGACCUAGAUGUGAUUCCAAUGGUAAUAUGGCGAUCCAACGGCCAGAUUGCUCCCAAUUUUUUAUCCAACAGCCAAAAUUGAUUUUCAACGGUAAAUUAAUGUUCCAACGGCUAUUUUGGCCCAAAUUUAUUUUAUAAAUAGCCCAAAUUUCAUCUAUUAUUGCUUUCAUUCUUUAUUUGCUCUCUCAUUACUCCAAUUUUUAUUAAGGUUGCUCAAUUAUUUAAUCAUUUUAAGGUAUAUUUGUUUUAAAUUGUAAUUAAUUUUGUUUGCAAUUGUAAUUAAUUCAUGUAUUUUCAAUUAAUUAGUAUGUUUGCAAUAUGGAUUAUUUAAUGCUAUUUUUACAUUCAAUUGUAAUUAAUUUUUAUAUUUUUAUUGAAUUAACUUAGGUUAAUUUGAUUAUUUAAUUAUAAAUUGAUAUGUUUAUUUUAAAUGAUUAUUUGUGAUUUAUUUUCACAUUUAGAAUUAAAUUAAACUAGUUAACUUAGCUAAAUUAUUUAAUUAAUUCAAUUAACAUACUAAAUUAUUUAAUUAAUUUAAUUAACAUGAACUAGUAUAUUUUGAAUAUGAAAUAUGUUUAUUUAAUGAAUUUAAUGUGUACAAAUUAUUGAUAUUUAAUGAAAUAAAAUAUUUUAUGUGACUUUAUAAUGAGAACAAUUACAAAAUUAACAUUUCUUAUAGAUCGACAUGAUAUAAUUACAUCUAAUAUUGCAAAUUAUAUCAUAUAUAUAUAUCAAAAUUUUCAAUAAAACAACUUUAAAAUGUCCAUUAUACUUCUAAUUAUAUUAUUAUAAGGUUUUCCUUACAUUUUCAUGAGUUUUUAACAAUUUUAAGCCUACCGAUUUUUUUUUCCAGAAUAUCCACCGAUAUAUCCAUAAAAUCGAAAUACCGAUAUAUCCGUGAUUAUCGAUAUUUUCAUCCUUGAUCAUAUCCAUAUUUUAACGUAUUAUAUACUUUUAUUUUGUGCAAUUAGCAAUUGGAUACUUUUAUUUUGUGCAAUUAGCAAUUGGGCGGAAGGCGUGGAGCUGGCUUAACGGAAAUACCGCGUGUCACGCGUGUCCCUUCCCGUACCAAGUCUCAACCAAGGAGGAAAAUAUCGUGUGUCGAAGGGUAUCGACACGAUUUUUCGGGAUAAAUAUCAAGAAAUCGGCUAUUUAUCGCGAUAUAUCGACGAUUUUGGCGAGAAAUCGACGAUUUUUCCUCGAUAUAUCACCUGGUCAAUGCGGGUUAACGAAGUCAACGCGCCACAGUGAAAGUCAAAUGUGCUACAGUGCACCUCCCCAAACAAAUUGCUUCCGAGGGGAUUUGAAUCCCAAACCUUUUGCCUUCUUGCCAUCUGGGCUAACUCACCCUUAUGAUAUAAAGUGCAUUAAACAUAUAUAUACUUAAAGUCCUUAUAUAAAGAAAAUGUUAAAAGAAUAUUUUAAAGAGCAAAUUAAUUAUAAUUAUUUUAUAAUUAAAAGCAAAAUUUUCUUUUAAUUAAUUACCAAAAAUUAUAAAAAUUAUAUAAUUUUCUUCAUAAUGUUUUUAAUAUCAUUAAUAAUUAAUUAAAUAUUAAAAAAUUAUAUAUAUUAUAAUUUAUUUUAUAUUGUUUAAUACAAUUGAAUUAAAUGGAUCAUAUUUUAAUAUUAAUAUAUAUUUUAAAAUUGGACAUAUUGUAAUCAAAUAUUAUAAUAUUAUAUGUAAUUUAAUAAUAAAUGUACACUUAUAAAAUUCAUAUUUUUAUCGAUGCAUACAAUAUUAUUAUCAAAUAUGAUAAAUCAUGUUAUACAUAUAUCAAAAUUUUCAAUAAAAUAACUUUAAAAUGUCUAUUAUACUUCUAAUUAUAUUAUUAUGAGGUUUUCUUUACAUUUUCAUGAGUUUUUAACAAUUUUAAGCACCAAUAUUUUUUUCCAAAAUAUCCGCCGAUAUAUCUCCGAUAUAUCCAAUAUAUCUCCGAUAUAUCCGAUAUAUCCGUAAAAUCGAAAUACCGAUAUAUUCGUAAUUACCGAUAUUUUCAUCCUGGUCUCAACUGCUCCAAGAUUUCCGACGCGCCCUUCUUCGCUUAACUCUUAAGUCUUUUCUUCCACUCUUCCUUAAACCCAUCACAUUUCGCCGCGUGGACCUAAGUCUCAAUGUCCUUGUGUUCAUACGAUGUAUGUUCCCCCAAUUCCUCAUCUACGCUGAAACUCCAUACUCGCCUACUCAAUCACUUCUCUACUCUAGAGUCUGAAUGCUUUAUCUCUGCGCGUGUCGAUGGCUCUUCACCCCAGCGAGUAUGGCAUUACAAGGGCAAUAUCGUCAUUAAAGACACAACAGCCAAACCAGUGUUGCGUAUUCGUGAUUGACUUCUUAGUAUCCUUUUGCUCCUAGUCUUCUCCCGCGUCUCUUAUAAAAACUAAAGCAAACCACUCCAAGAGAGCACACUACAAGAAUCUUAUUCGUUUUUUUCUUUCCUCUUUCUCUUUACAGAUAAACUGAGAAACCCCAGCUCAUCCCUCAAUUCCCAGAUGGGUUUCAUGAAUGUUCUCAAGUUCUCAGCUGCAUGCUUUGAUCUUCUUGGCUGGUAUGUUGUCCACGCGUUUUCUUGCCAUUGGAAAAUUUUGGAAAAUGAAGUGGAAUUCUCUGUUUGAGGACAAACAUGGGAUUUUCUUUGAUUUCUCCCUGUUGGUUUUAUCUAUUUUCUUUGAAUUACCCACAUUCUUGUCAUCUAUUGUUAGUUAUUUGUUUGGAUUUCUACUUGCAGGCCUCUAUGUGCACUGGGUUAUCCUCUGUAAGUCUUUGUCUUACACCUCAAGAUAUGAUGAUUCAUUUACUCUUUUCUUGUUCUACGAAUAGUUCAGUUACAUUUAUUGUGUUGGGAAACUGAAAAGGGAAAGGAUUAUUCUUUAUUAUCGUAAUAAUCAUCAACAUCAUCUCGGUUCUUCACAGAUGUGCUUCAAUUCGGGCAAUUGAGACUAACUCAAUCUCAGACUUUCGGAAGUUGGUGGCGUAUUGGGUUCUAUUUUCCUUGAUUUCACUCUUUGAUCAUGCCUUUGCCAAGCUCCUUGAAUGGUAAUUUUGCUCAACUGCAUUCCACUAUAUGUGACUCUGUUUGUUUCAUUUCUUUGCCCUUAAGGAAUUUGGAGUUGCUUUUUUCAGUUUUCUUCCCUGUGACAAUAAUCAAGAUGUUUAAUGUUCCAGGCCUCCAUGUAUUUUAUAUUCCUUCAUUUCUCUGCUUUGACAAAUGCCCACAAUUUGAUCAGCAGAAAGCUUAUAACAUUUGAAAAAGAAAUGGUUUAUUUUUGUUUUUUUUAAGUAGAAUAAUUUUUAUUUGGAUAAAUGGUCUGAAGGGUGUUUGUGUUUGGCUAAGUUCAUGGAAUUUUCAAGCUAAUUUGGGAUUUAUUCUCAAUUUCAAGAUCAUUGUGGAUAUGUCAGAAAUUAAUGAAAUAUAAACGGUGGACUGUGAUUUUCUUGUUUAAGAAAAGUUUUUCUUCGAAAAUGCGGGUGCACCCGACCUACCUUAUUGUGCUACUUGGAACACAAAACAUAAGUACAGGUAAUUUAUUAACUAAAUUGUACACUUUUUGAUAGUUGAAGGAGGUGGUUUUCUUCUUUUAGGGUGUCAGCUUUGGAAAUAAGAUGGAUCUACAAGUUUUUAUGUCUCAUCUUUAUAGGGAACUUGAAAGCAUGGAUGCACUUAUUUCCAUGGAAUUUGGCUGCCUUGAAAUCAAAUUAAGCUGUAUGCAUCAUUUGGAUGCUGAGAAACAAAUGGAAAUAGAAAAUUUGGAAUCUGACAAGUUUUUGUAGGGCAACUGGAUCUAAUCUCUCACUUGAAGCUUAAUUGGGGCAAAUGCUGAUAAUCUUUGGACCCAUUGAAAGCUCUAAUCUGUGCACAAUUCUAAUGUUUUUGUUUUCUUCAUUUCUUUUUCAACUUUUCACAAUAGAUGUCAAAAGUUAAAACCGAACUUAUGCAGUCCAUCCAAGUGGAUGCAUAUAAAUUUAACAGAAACUGAAAUUCGAAGAAAUUUAUUUUCCCUUUUGUAAAUGGUGUUUAAAUAUUUUAUUUUCUUAUAUAAUGCAUGUCAGGGUACCAGUCUGGCCUUACAUAAAGCUGAUGGUCAUCUGCUGGCUGGUGAUACGGCAGUUUGAUGGUUCAUAUUAUGUCUAUCAACACCUAGUUCAGCCAUGCUUGUCCAUGGAUCCACAAGUUGUCAUGAACUGGCUCUUCAAUGAAUCAAAAAAGAAGUUUCAUAGCAGAGAAAACUUUCUUGUUUCAGCAGACCAAUAUAUUAAGGAGAAUGGACCUGAAGCUUUGGAGAAACUACUUGCUAGGAAGGUAUGCCAUUAUAAGUAGGAUUAUCAACAAGUCAAACAGAGUUUUAUUUGAGAUGUUCAGGUAAAAAAUGACUAUAGUAGGUCAUCUAGAAUCAUUUGGUAAAAAUUCAUGUAUAUAUCUAUAUAUAAUUGUGUUCUCUUUUUUUCACAUGUGCAUAUUUAGAUUUACAUAAUUAUAUAUGCAUUAUCAGAUUCAACUGUGAUAGCCCGGAAUUAUUUCAGUAAUCAACUCUUCUGGGAACAUGUUGGUUAUGGUUUCUCUCUCACUGUCCUCUUCUUUAUACAUGACUUUGGCUUCAGUUGAGGAGCGCAAAGCCUAAUGUUGAAGUGAAAGAGAUCAAAGCACCUGCAGCACCGGAGAAAAAAGGGGAAGAGGUAUGCACUCUAAUGUGGCUAUUUUAUUUCUAUGGAGGCAGAUCCCCAGAAAAAUGUUGCUCAUGUAAAUUAGUGAUGCAUUUGAUUCAAUGGCCAUGGUUUUAAAAGAAAAACCACUUUAUGUAUGUUUCUGUGAAUAAGAGAACAAGUUUAUGGAUUAUAUGAUAUUUUUAAUGGUGGAUUAAUCAAUAAUUUUCAAAAUAAUAAUAUAUUCGUGCAUGUUUUUGCAAUUCAUGAAUUCCUUUUAUGAUUGAUUCUUCUUACCUUUUUUCUCACCUCAGUGGAAGUGUGAAGAGCCUAAUGUUGCUGAAAAGGAGAUCCAAGAUGUCAAAGUAACAGACAUAAAGAAUGGGGGGGAUGGAGCAAAGAGGGUAAGUUUUGCUUUUUAUUUAUAAAGUAGGCUGUCUUCACACAAGGAUUAUUAUUAUUAUUGUUAUUAUCUUUAAGACAUGAAUGUUGAAUGCUUUUGGAAUUGUCCAUGAAUCAUGUGUAGUGUGAAUGGCCUAAUGCUGCUAAGGAGGUCAAAGUGACAGAAGUAACACACAGAACAUUUGGACAUAUUUAAUGUUUCAUGUCAUAUUUAAAUGGCUCCUCAUAUUUCACUAGGAUUAAUUUUGCCCCUACAAACUAUUUGGCUACAAGUUAAGAGAGAGUUCCAGAUGCUGAUAAAGCUGAGACAUAAGUAAUGAACGAAUUUAGACACAUGCACAACUCUUGUGUGAAACACAAUGAGAGUGGAAAAUAGCUAAGUUGAAAAAUGGCCAAAUACUAUUUUGUAGUUCCCCCUACUGCUUAAGUAAUUUUUGUCAUCCUUUGUGAAUGGAAAAUGCAGUCCCUUCAGUAAUUCCGUUAUAUUCAUGACUUGGUGAAGCAUAUAACCAUUAGUGUCUUGCCCUAAGUCGACCUUUAAUGAUGAUCCAUUGAGAUGGGUCUGACUUUUGUCAACCCUCUUAUUCCCUUGAUCAUAGAGGUUAAACUUAGGGGGCUUAACCCACUUUUGAACCUUAUUGGAUAUAUGGCACAUGGUAUCCUCUUCAUCUUGAAAGAGUGAAGUGGUCAUACUCUUUCCUCUGAGUCCAUCAUGGCCAUGCACUUCUGGCUCAUUGGGCUGAGUGCAAGGAUUCCCUUCUGCUUCAAAUCAUAGAGAGAUAUGCCAUGGUCAGCCUCUUUAAUUCAAGGGAUCGAAGUACUCAAAUCCAUUUCUCUGCAUCCAUCUUAAUUCUGCAUUCAUGUCUCAUGGUUAACCAAGAAGAUCCAGCUUGCAUCCAUGAGAUCAGCAUCUGCAGGUUUAUGACACCACCCUUCCUUGGCAUAGGAAAGGGAUCAUUAAGCCAUGUGUUGGAUGACAGAAGUCAUCAUUCAGGUUAUCUUGAGAACUAAGGAAGUUGGAAUUCUAAUUAUUGCAAAUGGUUCUUGAUGUUUAGCCAAUAUACUGUAGGAUUUUAAGGAUCAUGCUCAUGUGCAUUGUGGUUGUUUAUCAGCUAUAGGGUUUACCAAAAUGAGGGACUGAUUAUGGUCAUAAGUACCUUUUUCCCAUUAAUUUCUUGCAUGUGCUCUGCUGAGAUUAUGUUUUUGACAGUCCAAAUCAGGGCAAACCAACAAACAGCUUUAUGUUAACUUUUACAAACUGCCACAUUUUCAGGUUAAACAAACAGAGAUAAAUCUUGGUGAAACUAGAAGUAAUACAACCUGUGCUGUGGAGAUAAAAGAAAGGGCAGCGGCACUGGUGGCCGCAGAAAUUGAGGCAUGUAGAGACGAUAGAACCCCCAAGAUACCUCUUCAUGAGAAAGUCCAGAAAGAGUGGGCUUGUGCUGUAUGCCAGGUCACAACCCAAAGUGAAGCGACCUUCAAUUCCCACCUUCAAGGGAAGAGACAUCAGGCCACUUCUGAGAAGCUGAGAGCCAAAAACCAGGCAACCAAAACCAGUUGUUCCCCAUCUGCUUCAAUGGCCAAGAAAUCUGAUCAGUCCACCAAAGAGGAGCAACCGAAGUGUACUUCCAACAAUCUGAAUUCCAAAAACAAUGGAAUCUCAGCUGCUUCAACAGUGAAGAAACCUGAUGACACCAAAGAUGAUGAGCGACAAAAGUCUGCAUCUAGCAAUGAACCGAACCAGAAGAAUAACAAAAAGCAAGAGGUACAGACCAAUGAGCAAGGCCAUCAGAAGAAUUUAAAGCAAACUGGCGAUGGAAUGAAAGAGUUGAGA